rnacentral:lncRNA from 1 species
GCCGAUCACCUGCACACACCAGUUGCACUCACCAUGACUCAUCGUCCCCAGACUUAUUGCUGGCACGAUUACAAAGCAGCAUGGUUCAAUUUUUUGUAUAUUAGACCAGGACAUACUUGGUUUGUUAAGUAUAGCUUAGAGGUUACUAAAGCUAUAAUCCCUAGAUGGUUCUACGAAUGGUGGAACGUAUUCGGAGGAAAUAGAGAAAUCCUCCCCCAACAAUUCCUCAACAGGUUUGAUGAUUUUCAGACCAAAGAGGCCAUUUCUACACUACCAGAACACAUUAAAAUGUGUAAAUACUUUGUCCAGAAGAGGAUAUCUUUUAUCGUCAGCUGGAACUUUAUCAAGGCAGAAUUUGACAGAAUCAAAUAUCUGUCCAAAGAAGUCAAGAUCAAGGGAUGGACUCCUAAACAACAAGUCCCCAAAGUCCAGAAACCCGUUCAACAAAGCUUCCAGAAAGCUUCAUCUUCUAAUGCAGCCCUCAAGGAAAAGCUAAAACAAGCUUUACAAAAUAUUGAAGAAUAUGAAGAAGACCAGAUCAUGCAAUUGAUCGAAGAUGCUGCUUCUACAGGAGAAAGCAGUAAUGGAGAUAUGUGUGACCCAAAGGGUAUAGCCUUGGCAUACAUGGAUCCAAAUUAUGACUAGUGGAAUCUGCACCGACAGAGUCUCCAUCAGCAAAGACCAACAGAGUCUCCAUCAGCAAAAGGAAUCACCUUUCACUGUUCACCUUUUGAAAAAGAAGACAGCUUUUUACUGUUUGCUUUAAGAGUGGACCACCUACUUUUAGUUUGUCGACCACUUUGUGUUGUCGAUUAAAUCUGAUCGUUCAUUUGUACGCCUAAGAUGAAAGGCAUCUUUUCUUUAGUCUAUUUAAGACGCCAUAUCCCCAUUGUAAGAGGCAUCGGGAAAAUUCUUCCAAAUUUUCUAAGACCUCUCCCCUCUGUACUAUUCUAAUAUUUUCCGCUGCAAUGAUUUUACUUUGAAUCAAUAAAACUUGUAAGUUUUUUAAGGGCUUUUCUUUAUACUUGUUUAAGUAUUUAUACUGCAUCCCGUUCCGUUUCUACUUGGUAUCAGAGCCAUGUUGGCAGUAUGCGUACUUAGUAUGAGCAACUAAGUACAUAUACUGUCUAGGGCAUGGCAAAAUUAAUUUUCAUUAUGUGAUAUUUAAACUAUAUAUAUGUAUGUCUUGUAUACAGUUCUUUUAUCUCUGGUUCUUUACUGUUUUAAAGUUUUCUGUAUGAGGUAUUUAUUUUCUCUAUAAGUAUGAGGUAUCCGAUUAAUAUCCGGCUUAAGACGUUGGCUAGCCUCAAAGAGAUAGGUCGUUGUUGCCGAGGUAGGCGUUUAGACCUUGUUAGGUGAUCCCGUCGCCAAGAUGACUUUAGAGAAAAGAGAGUAAAACCAAGAAGACUUAAACUGAGAAACCUCCUGAUCUAAGAGAUUAAGGUACUGUAUCCUGCUAUACAUAUUUACUGUUUACUUAUACGUACUGAAUAGUUAUUUUAGCCCUAUAAGCCCCUAGACUGUAUUUUCAAAAAUAUGAAUCAAAACCAACAUGUUUUGAAUAGUGUUAAUUUAUCUUCUGGAGCAACUAAGAUUGCUAAAUUAGAAACUGAUUUACAAAAUUGGAACAUCCCCAAUGAACCUUUUAAAAAGAUUUAUGAAUUAGGAAAUUUCAGUUUCGUUAAGAAACAUAACAUUAAGACCUGUGAGUCCACUAUUGCUAUUAAUAAUUCUUUAAAAAUUAUUAAGUUACUUUCUGAGCAUGAUUUGAAUAGAUAUAAAAAACGAUUCAAUUACUUGCAUAUUGGUUUAGUUCAAAUUGCUGUCAAACCUCUCUUUAGGAAAGGUUAGACGUACCUAUUUGCAUCCUUUUAAGAGAUGCUCAUCUAUUGAACUUCGACGACUCUCUCUUAGGAGUUCUUCAAAGUAACCUAGCCAAUGGCCCGGUAUACUUUAACUGCUAUCCUAAUUUCUCGGUAGAUAUCAAUGACCCUAACGUCAUGGAUACUUUGACUUUGAACGUCAAAACCAAGAACAUGAAUAGCAAAAUCAAUACUCGUGAAGUAGCUAUCAUUCACAGAGUCUAUUAUAGACUCAUGGACACUACUCUUGCUCCAAGAGCUCGAGUUGAGAGUGUCAAGGGAGUCACCAUGCUUAUGGAAGCAAAUACUGAUCACAGUACGGUAUUUGUCCCUAGACUCCUUAAUUGGAAUGAUAUACUCACAAGUGAUGAAUGGCACUUCGAUGCCAUAACUCAACCUUCCACUUCGAAUCUGGAAAGAUCUCAGAUUGAGCAGGUUAUUCAAUUUCCUGAUGGAUAUAUUGAUCUGAAAUUCCUAGGAUCAAGUUCUAAUCUCUCGAGCAGAACUAGUUCCUUUAGAAGAAGGACUAUUGUUCCUUCCGUACCUUCUUCUUCUAAACCCCCGGAGGAAGACGUAACUGAAAAUGUCGAAACUUCCGUUCCAACUACUGGUAACAACAAAGGGAAAGUUACGGGAGUAGAUUUCUCCCAUACAGUCCCAAAAGUUUAUUACCAAAAUCAUCCCGCUAGUCCAACCCCUAGCGAUAUGUAUCCUCCUCAGGAAGAAGUCCCUGAGUAUAUCAAAACUAUCAAAUCUGGUGAUCCAUAUAUCCUAGAUGAGAAGAAGAUGGACCAACAGUGGUACCAUCCUGAUAACGUACCUAAAAGAAAAUGGUAUGUUGCUACUUAUUCUCUUGAACAGAGAAAAGACUUCAGAAAUUGCUGGUUAUCAGACAUGAGAAGAAUAAGAUGUGAAAUCGAUUUCUUCAGGUGGUUUGAAAUAUCUGGCAAGUACGAACAUCAGAAGGACUGCUUGCAAGUCCUCAUUAACAAAUGGUAUACAGCCAACAACAAAGUUGUUGAAUCUGUCACUCCUCCUCUAGAAGGAAUAAAAAUCCAUGUUUCCAAAGUUGUUAUCUCUGCUUCUCCUUUCAAAAUCAAAAGCGAGAAACUAACGAAUAUGGUUACUUGUUCUAAUCUUGAUCGAGUUGUUGAACAAAAUAAUUACUCGAAUCAACUCCUUCAUGUCAUUUCUAGAUAAAUAGAAGACUCCAAAGAAAAGUCUUUAUUCAGCGGAAAGCCAACCUUUUCACAACCCAGUUCUAGUCAGAACAUUGAAUCAAACCCAGGUUUCAAAAUCGCUGAGUUUUCAAAGGAUAAAUAUCCGAAACUCAAAGAUACAUCUGAAGUCAGUGGUAGUGUUCUUGACAAAAUCAACAAACAGUUGGCUGAUCUUAAUAUUUCUAAGGAGAAAUCCAAGGAUGGUAAAAUAUCCACCAUCCAAGAAAAGGAAGAUCUCCUCCAUAAGCUCACAAAUGAACGCUUUCAUAAUUUCAAAAAUUAACAUAAGCGUCCCUCGUUUCCAGAUAUCCAAUACGAGGAAAAUCAUUUUCUUGCAUCUACUUCUCACGAAGGAAGAAGCAUAAUCGAAUGGAACAUUGAUGCUCUUGCAGAGCACCAAAUAUACCAUAAACUUCAUGAAAUGGGAGUUUGUAUUACAGCUUACAAGAUAAGAGGAUCUUCUGAUAAAGAAGCCGCCUCUAUGAUAGUAGCUGGUUUUACGGGCAUGUUAAAACAUUGGUGGGAUAAUUAUUUCACUGAUGAUAUCAGACAAGCCAUCUAUUCUGCUACGGCUAUUGAAACCGUAGUUAAAUCAGAAGGAACCUCCUCUGCUAUGGUUAUAGGUGGGACUGUUACCCCUAUGGAAACAACCUCACAAAUAACUAGAGAAGAUGUCUGUGCUACCCUUCUCUACCACAUAGCAAAACACUUCAUUGGAGAGCCAAAACUCUUCCAAGACAGAAGUUUACAAAUUCUGAAUAAUCUAUCCUGUCCAUCUUUAGAUGACUUUAUCUGGUAUAAAAACCAAUUCAUCACCAAGGUUAUGACUAGACCUGACUGUCAUCUAGACUUCUGGAAAGAACGCUUCAUCAGCGGUCUUCCCCCUUUGUUUGCUAGCAAAGUUCGAACCAAAAUCCAGGAUCGUUGUGAAGGUAAAAUUCCUUACCAUCUGAUGACCUAUGGUGACAUUAUUAGCAUCAACAACGUUGUAGGUCUCGAACUCUGCACAGACAUCAAGCUUAAAAAACAACACAAAAAAGAGCAACACUCUUCUAGAAGAGAAUUAGGAAGUUUCUGUCAAGACUUCGAUUAUACAAACAUUGUCGCUCCUUCUACUCAUUCUUCCAAGAAGGACAAAGCUUACAGGUCUUCCAAAAAGACCCGUCGCCACAAAUCCAGGAGGAAUUUUGAUGGUCCUCCUAAAAAGAAAUCCAAAUUCAGAAGACCUUCUUCAAAAACCAAAGAGGUCUGUUGGAACUGUGGUAAAACUGGUCGCAGAGCCAACCAGUGCAAAUCUGACAGAAUGAAGAAGAAGAUCAAUCUUCUUGAAAUCAGCGAAGAUACCAAAAAGGAACUCUUCUCUAUCUUAGAAGAACCUAAUUCAGAUUCUUCUCCUGAUUACUCCUCGGAUGAGUAUAGCGAUGAAGAUGAUAUCAACAUCGCCUAUAACUCUGACUCAAGCCAAUAUGGCAGUGAAUGCCAUUGUUCUGGAGCUUUUUGUACUUGUGAUAAAACUCAGGCUUCCAUCAAAGUACUAUCAGAUAGCUCCAAAGAAGCUCUGUUUGAUGUCGUCUAACACAUCACAGAUGAUGAGUCUAGAAAGAAGUACUUGAUUGAACUCAAGAACCUCAUUCUUACUCAACAAAAUGACAGACCUAAGUCCAGGUCAGUUGUUGAACCAUUCAGCAUGAAGCAAGUCAUGGCUCGCUUCGAUAAACCAGCUGAACCAUCGAUUUCUGAUCUGAGGCACGAAGUCUCAUAACUAAAGGAAGAAAUCAAGGAUAUUAGAUCUAGACUUGGAAAAGUUGAGGUUGAUAUCUUAACUGAUCAGGUUCUCAAACGAGCUAAGACUUAUGAAUAUAAGUCAGAAAAUGAAGAAGAACCUAGUCCUCAUCAAAGUGAGUGUCAUUCUGAGAAUGAAGACUCUGUUAAUCUUCGUCUUACCAAAGAUAAGACUUCAUCGUCCCAAGCUCAAGGCCUUACGGUAAUUACGAGUAUCAAACCUAAAAGUUGCCAUAUACCUAUCAAGAUUGUUAUUAGCAAACAUUUCGCUAUUAACAAAAUCGCUUUGCUUGAUAGUGGAGCAGAUCGUAACUGCAUCAUGAAAGGUAUUGUUCCAACCCAGUACUUAGAAAAGAGUACUUCCAAAUUAUACUCCGCCACAGGAGAACAACUUCGUAUUAAUUAUAAGCUUUCAAAAGCUCAUAUUUGUAAUAAUGGUAUUUGCUUGACAAAUGAUUUUAUUAUUACUGAAGAUAUUAAUGAAGAUAUCAUUCUUGGAAUUUCUUUUAUCACACAGAUAAAACCUUUCAUUACUGGCUUUGACGGUAUUUCUAUUCAGAUAUUAGGAAAAGAAUUACAUUUUCCAUUUGUUAAAACCCUUUCACAAGAUGAAAGUGAUUUUAUAAGAAAAAACACUGUUUUUCGAAUAAAUAAACUCUCUCAGCAUAUCACCUUUUUAAAAGAUGAAAUUAGAGUUAAGAAAAUCGAACAGAUUUGAGGUGGUUUGAGGAUUCAACUAAGUUCAUAUAGUAUUUUGGGACUUGAUGUUAUGUUUGGUUGAGAUCCUAGGGACCUCAGGUGAGUUUUGGGUAUUUAACGGAUCAUUUUUGGCCUUGGUGAGAUAGCUGAUAUCUGAUGCUGCAUUUUUCUGGUUUCCUCUUACGCGUUCACGAGAGGAGCCUCGCAUUCGCGAAGAGUGUUUCUGAGUUGGUGAGAUUUUGCUCUACGUGUCUGCGAACGAGAGGAUGCGAACGCGAAGGUAUGGCAGUGUGUGCAUCGCGAACGCGUGAGUGGCGUCGCAUUCGCGAAGGGGAGUGAGGCAGCUGGGGACCCCCAGUCUUUUGUUCUACGCGUUCUCUAGGUAAGGGACGCGUUCGCGAAGGUCUGAGUUUGCAAAGCUUGGCGUUCGCGAAGCAUAGGUCGCGUUCAUGAAGAGUUAUAUUGAGAGGCAGUCUGAGUUGGUCUAUGUGAAUGCGAGAGGACGGUCGCAUUCGCGAAGGAGGAAAUCUGGACAGACAGUAUUAAUUUCAGGCCCCCGACCUCACUCAGUCAUCAAUCUCUCCAGUCUCACUCACGGGUUCACAAUGUCAUGAAACUAGCCCGACAACAAGGAUAUGAUGUAUCGAUAAAUAACUGAGACUGAGAUAUUAUAUGAAUACAUGAAUAUGACUGAGUACGAAAUAUCAAUAAAAUCAGUGAGAUGACAGUAAGAAACGACCACUAUGGGUCCAAACAAUUUCGGAAUAAUGCCUAAACAUGAUAUCUAGCAUGAUUGACAGCUUAACUACUUUAUCACAUGAUGAAAAUACGGAUAUCAAUAAAGUAGGACCACUAUACAGUGCCAUGGAAACAAUAGAGUCCCAAUUCACAUGGUGCACGCCCACACGCCCGUCACCUAGCAUGUGCAUCACCUCAAUACCAAUCACAUAAUACGUAUUUCGGGGUUUCAUACCCUCAGCACUAAGAUUAGAAGAGUUACUUACCUCGAACAAGCCAAUACCAAAGCCGAGCAAGCUAAGCGGUGCUCCAAAGAUGCCAUCCUGCGCGUUCCGACCUCUGAUCGGCUUGAAACUAACCAAAAACAACUCAAGUACAUCAAACAAUUCUAAAGGAACCAAUCCCGAUCGAAAAAAUUAAAUCUUGAAUCAAAAGCCCGAAAUCGGCCAAAAGUCUGAAAUCGGCCAAAGGCUCAAUCCGGGCCCGCACCUCGGAAUCCGAUAAAAUUUAUAAAAUUCAACAACCCAUUUAAUUACGAGUCCAACUAUACUAGUUUCAUUCAAAUCCGACUCCAAUUCGAUGUUCAAAACUCGAAAAUUCAUAUUAUGAAACUUUAGGCCAAAACCCAAAAAUUUCUCUUUAAAUUCAUCAACUAGUUGAUAAAAAUAAAGAUAGAUUCAUGAAAUAUAACCAAAUCUAAGUAGAGAACACGUACCCCAAUUCAUAUGAUAAAAUUUGCUCCAAAAAUCGUCUUCAUCCGAGCUUGAAAAUAUAAAAAAUGAAGCCAAAAUCGCGAACCCUUGUAUAUAACAUUCUGCCCAGCACUUCCGCAUUUGCGGACAAUUCGUCGUACAUGCGACCACCGCUUUUGCGGAAACACUUCGCACUUGCGCUGCCCGGCUUCCUCACCAUUUUCGCUUCUGCGACUCCCUGCCCGCAUCUACGCAAUCGCAGGUGCGGAAAUCCCAUCGCACCUGCGGCCUCUGCUCACACCCUUCAACUCUGCACCUGCGCUCGAGCUGCCGCACCUGCGGCAUCGCAUAUGUGCCCAAAUAUCCGCUUAUGCCGUCUUCCUCAUCCAGCUCUCAUCUCGCAUAUGCGACGCCUUUGCCGCUUCUGCGGCCAUCACACCUGCGCAAACCAACGGCAGGUGCGAUUAUACUAGAACCAGCAGCCUUCAGCUUUGCGCAUGAAGUGAAAAUGAUCUGAACCUCGUCCAAAACUCAUCCGGGCCACUCGGGACACCUGUCCAAAUAUACUAACAAGUCCAAUAACAUAAUACGGAUAUACUCGAGGUAUCAAAUCAUGCAUAACCACAUUGAAAUAACGAAUCGCACCUCAAAUCGAAAUCUAUGAAUUGAAACUUCAACUUCCACAGCCGAUGCCGAAACCUAUCGAAUUACGUCUGAUUGACCUCAAAUUUUGCAUACGCGUCACAUUUCACAUUACGGGCCUAUUUCAAUUUCUAAAAUCGGAUUUCGACCCCGAUAUCAAAAAGUCAACCCCCCCUCCCCAGUCAAACUUCCCAAAAAUUCAACUUUCGCCAUUUCAAGCCAAAAUCUACUACGGACCUCCGAAUCACAAUACGGACGCGCUCCUAAGUCUAAAAUUACCCAACGGAGCUAACGAAACCACUAAAACUACGUUCCGGGUUCAAAUUCAUAAAAAGUCAAACUUGGUCAACUCUCCCAAAUUAAAGCUUCGACAAUGAAAUCCAUUCUUCUAAUUCGAUUCCGAAUAACCUGAAAAUCAAAACCGACGAUUCACAUAAGUCAUAAUGUAUCAUACGGAGCUACUCAUACCCGUAAACUACUGAGCGAAGUGCAACUGCUCAAAACGACCAGUUGGAUCGUUACAGUUCUUUGUGGAGCGUUAUAUUGAAAGGUAGCGCUUAGAAAGUUUGGUGAAUUUAAUUAUGACAAAUAUUUUUUACUUGUAGAAAUCUGGUGAUAGCAUAAAAGAGACAAAAAAAUCAGGGACCUUCUAAUAUCUUUAAAGUUGCAAAAGAAUUCAAAAGGACAUGUCUCCUCAAAAAAGUAUAUAUGGUAUAUUUUAUAAUCGGGAGUAUCUUUCGUAUUGCAUAAAUUAAAUUAAAAAUAUCUGAAGAAUUGUAUCCUGUCAAAUAAUUUGUAUUAUUUUAUUUAGAUUAUUAAAAAGGUAUUUAAGUAAUUUGACUUUUAAGUUUAGAAGUUCCUACUUUUAAUAUAACUAGUUCUAGACACACGCGUUGCGCGUAUAUUUUAAUACCAAUUAGUAUUAACUUUUUAAAAAAUCAUAUAAAUAUACAACCUUGACGUAAAAUUCUAUAUUUGUUGACAACAAUAAGUAAAAAGAUGGAGAAAUUAGAGAGCAAAAUGAACAAGAGGGGGUGGGUAAAUGUGAGUGCUCCUAAGGUUUUUAGAGCAAUGACUUCAUAUGUUUUUUUUACUCCAUAUAUGUCAUCAAUCUAAUAUAUUCCAUCGAACUAAACUGCGUAUAUAACUAAUUUUCUCCCUGUGACUAUUAGAACUACUUCACUGGACUAGUAACGAUCUGAAUUAUGUCUGAUAUAGAAUAUAUAUCAUAGGCACUGCGUUGUUACACAUUAUUGCAAAUAAAAUAUAUUUAUUAGACUUCACUAAAAUAAAAUUCCAUAAUUCAGACCUGUAUUUAAAAAUUCAAGUAUAUACAACUGCUCCUAUUAACAUUCAAAAUAAGUUCCACGUACAUUAUUCAUUGAUUUUUUUUUAAAAUUUAAAAAGCUAAGAAGUGACAAAUACACAAUCCUCUAUUUACACAAACAUGUAUUUUCAUAUUCAACCCAUUCCACUGGUUCACUAUCCUCCUCGAUUCCGCUCUUCCUGUUUCUUGCUUACUAUUACUUUAGCUUUAUUUACCAUAACUACAAUGGAGUUUAAAGAAGAGUGGGGAUGUAGGAUAUUUAUUGACAUUUUUAAUUUCUAAUUAACUAAUAUAAUUUACUUAUAAGUUGUAUAUGAUUUUCUCCUCUUUUCACCUUUUAGCAUUUUGUCUGCAAAAUUAAUCUUUAGUUUUCGAGCAGUCCCGCAAGAAUUUACGAUGCUUCAAGAUUUUCACCCCUCACAAAAUGAUUGGUUUUAUCUUAUCUUGAUAACACAAAUGGUUUAUAGUGAUUUUAGAAAAAGAGAAAUAAAACGAUAUAUAUGAACGACUAAUCAAUUAUGUAUAAUUUGCAUUAAGUAGAUGAAUAUGAUAUUGCAUUAAAUUAUUUGAAUGAAUUUAGUCUAUAAUUGAUGAAUUACUCAUGAGUACUCCAGAGAGGCUUAAAAUAUAUUUCUCAUUUCAUAAUCUAACUAAGUUUGCUUUUUAAAUGACAUUGCACGGAGUACAUCUAUAAUUUUUUUUAAAAUUGUCUUCAAUCCAAGAUGAUAGCAUAUAAAAUACAAUGAAUUAAUUAAAAUUUACAGUGUCUCUAAAGUGUAUACAAUAAUGGUUGAACGUAUGGCAACCUGUUAUUGGGAUUAUUUCUUUCAUGAAUGUUGUGAAUUAUUUAUUACCACACCAUUAAGUAUAAAAUAUCAUUUAAUGUGAGGUCAUUUUAAUUUUAGGUAGAGGGCAAUUUGGUCAUUCAAUUUUUUAAGGACAUUUUAGUAACUAACUUCAUCUAAAAGUGUUCAUGCUUAUAAUAUAGUAUGAUAUGAUAUAGAUUUUCAAUGUAUAUUUAGUUUAAAAUUGAUUUUCAUUUUGAUGAGUAGUAAAAUAGGUAAUAGGGUUUAAUUUUACCUUACUUUUCUAUUUUAUGAUAAUCUAUAAGUUUCCACAAAUGAAAAGAUAUAGAGUAUAAUAUUUAGGAAAAGUACAUCCUUUACAUAUCGACCUUGUAAUGAUCCAACAGGUCGUUUUGCUUUUUAGAUCCUCGUUUUCCUAAAUAAGACUCCUCGUAUGUGCUUUUACUAUUUUAUUAUUUGUGGUGAUGGUUAAUUCGGGAUUUGGAAGGGUUCAGGUUGAAAUCGGAGUACUUGGUUCCUUAAGGUUGGCUAAAAAGGGCUAAGUUUGACUUGAGUCAACGUUUUGAGUAAACAACCUCGGAACAGGGAUUUGACGAUUCCAAUAGGUUCGUAUGAUAAUUUUGGACUUGGACGUAUGUUCGGAUCGGGUUUUGGAUGACCCGGGAGUGUUUCGGCGCUUAAUAUUGAUGGUUGGCACCUUGAAGGUUUUAAAGUUCUUUAAAUUUGGUUUAUAGUAGGUUUUGGUGUUAUCGAGGUCCGUUUAAGAUUUCGAGCCUGGGAAUAGUUCCGUAUGGUGAUUUAAGACUUGCACAAAAAAUUUGGAGUCAUUCCGAGUAGUUUAAGUAUGUUUCGGCGCAAUCGUAAUAAGUUGGAAGAAUUUGAAGUUCAUAAGUUGAUUCAAUUUGGUUUGGGGUGUGAUUCUUAGUUUUGGUGUUGUUUUUCGCGUUCCGAGGGUUCGAACAAGUCUGUCUCAUGUUUACGGACUUGUUAGUAUGUUUGGGCGAGGCCUCGAGGGCCUCGGGUGCAAUCCGGACGGCACAGAUUGAACUUGGACUCAAAAAGGGCUGCUGGUGCACCAGUUCUGGUGUGCCCGCACCUGCGAGCUUUUGGCCGCAGAAGCGGCUUUGGAGCAGUUGGCUAGUGGUCCGCAGAAGCAAAGGGGAGUGCGCAGAAGCGGACUCGCAUCUGCGAUGAGGAGCCGUAGGUGCGAGAAGACCGCAGAUGCGCUUCCCUGACCGCAGAAGCGGGAUCACGUCCGCAGAAGUGGCCAGCACUGGGCAUGGGGAAUUUUGCAGAAGCGGACCUAGAUCUGCAGAAGCGGUACCGCAAAUGGGGCCAAGUGACCGCAGGUGCAAAAUCGCUGGAGGCAGAAUGGUCAAUUUAAUGCUGGACUUAGGCUAUUCUGGCUCACUUUCUUUCAUCGCUUGGGCGAUUUUGGAGCUCUUGGAGAGGAGUUUUCACCUAGUACUUUGAGGUAAGUAAUUUCUAUACAAUGUGUCAUGACCUAAAAUCCGUUUAGUCAUGAUGGCACCUAACCCAACCCGCUAGGUAAGCCAAUUAUCCACUAUCCAAUUCCAUUAACAAUUAUUAAAGCAAUUUACGUAAAGAAAAAUCUUAAUCUUAUACAUCCCCCAAGAACAAGUAGUACAAAUCAUGAGCUUCUAAGAACAGAGUAUACAAAGCUGGUAUGAAGUAAAUACAUCAUCUAUUUGAAAAGUACAUAAACAGAGUUUUAUGAAUCUAAGGCUACCAUGAACAAGAGGCAGCUACAACUGGAACGCAUGUACAUCUUCAGAUCCAGCUCCUAACGAACGCAGCAACAUCAGCGACCAAUAUCUGCACGCAAGGUGCAGAAGUGUAGUAUGAGUACAACCGACCCCAUGUACUCAAUAAGUAACAAACUUAACCUUAGGUUGAAAGUAGUGACGAGCUCGUACCAAGGUCAGAGUCCAACUUCCAUAACCAACAAUAGUUCAUAACAAUAUAAAACAAGUAAUACCCAAAGUAACUCAGAGAUAAAAUGCUCAAUAAAAUCAUAAUUUCUAAAAAUAGUUCUGCCUUUCAAGUAUAUCAGUAAAAACCCAAAUCGUUUACCAAAGUUGCCAAAAAUAUGAAUAAGUUUAAAAAUAAUAAUUUUUCCAAAAUCCUUUCCAUAAUAAAUAAGAUGUUUCAUUUUCUUUCAAGAUAGCCAGUGUAAAACAAAUGCAUCACUAUGCCCAUAUAUCAAUAUGUGUGAGAGGUCAUGAAUGACGUGAUACCGUACAGCAUGAGAAAAAAAUAUCUCUAUGCCUAUAUGCCAUGGGUACAUGUCAAUGCAAUGUAUCUCAGAGAUGAACUNNNNNNNNNNNNNNNNNNNNNNNNNUGUCCAAUCCGACCCAGGGAAGAUCCAUCCCGGAAUAUACACAUCAACUGAUCAUUAGUCACCCAGUACCAAGUAGGGCCAAUCCAGCCCGUGGAGAAUAUCCAUCUCCAGGUAUAUAAUGCUUCGGACAUGAUCCAUGUCCAGGGAAGAUCCAUCCCUAAAUAAUAUUAACUGCGCUCACUGGGGGUGUACAAACUCCGGAGGGGCUCCUACAGCCCAAGCGCUAUAAUCCGCACAAACAACUCAUGUGUCAUAAUAUCAAUAUCUUGAUCCACACGGACAACUCACGUGCUAUAGUAUCAAUAUCCUCACAAACAGGCCCCCGGCCUAACUCAGUCAUCAAUCUCUCCAGUCUCACUCACGGGCUCACAAUGUCAUGAAACCAGCCCGACAACAAUGAUAUGAUGUAUCAAUAAAUAACAAGUGAGAUUGAGAUAUGAUAUGAAUGCAUGAAUAUGACUGAGUACAAAAUAUCACUGAAAACAGUAAAAUAGCAACAAGAAAUGACCAAUAUGGGUCCUAGCAGUAUCGUCAUAAAUCCUAAACAUGGUAUCUAGCAUGAUUAACAGCUCAAUUAUUUUAUCACAUGGUGAAAACACGGACAUCAACAAAGUAGGACCACUAUACAGUGCCAUGAAAACAACAGAGUCCCAAUUCACAUGGUGCACGCCCAUACGCCCGCCACCUAGCAUGUGCGUCACCUCAACACAAAUCACAUAACACGUAUUUCGGGAUUUCAUACCCUCAACUCCAAGAUUAGAAGAGUUACUUACCUCGAACAAGACGAAUCCAAUGCCGAGCAAGCUAAACAAUGCUCCCGAAAUCCCAUUUUGCGCGUAUUAACUCAUGAACAGCUCGAAUCUAGCCACAAUAAAUUUGAUUCAGUCCACACAAUUUAUAGGAAUUAAUUCCAUAUCAAAAUACUAAUAUUUUCCCACAAAAUGCGAAAUUACACUCCAAAAAUUGCUCGUGGGGCCCAUGUCUCAGAAUCCAACGAAACGCGCAAAAUCCGACAACCCAUCCAUUACAAGAUCAACCAUACUAAUUUCACUCAAUUCCCACUCCAAAUCGAUGUUCAAAACUCAAAAAUUCAUUUUAUGAAAUUAUAGGAAUUUCCUUCGAUUUCUCUUGAAGAUUCGAUAAUUAUACACAAAAAAUGAAGAUUAAUUCAUGAAAUAUAAUUACAAGGGAGUCAAGAACACUUACCCCAAGUUGUGUGAAAAAAUUCCUCUCCAAAAUCGCCCAAACCGAGCUCCAAAAUCCGAAAAUGAGUGAAAAUAUAGAACCCUCGAACUUAAAGGGUUCUGCCCAGGUUUUUCGCAUCUGCGGACCCUGGGCUUGCACUUGCGCUCCCGCUUCUGCGGAAAAAUGUCGCACAUGCGUUGCCCGACUUCCUCACCAUUUUCCGCUUCUGCGAAUCCCUGCCCGCAUCCGCGCAAUUGCAGGUGCGGAAAUCCCAUCGCACCUGCGACCUCUGCUGACACCCUCCAUCUCUGCACCUACGCUCGAGCUGCCUCACCUGCGGCCAAGACCCUCGCAAGUGCGAUCACAUCAAAGGCAGCAGUUCCAGCAUUUUUCUUAAGUCCGAAUUUGAUCCGUUAACCAUCUGAAACUCACCCGAGGCCCCCGGGACUUCAACCAAACAUACCAACAAGUCCUAAAAUAUCAUACGAACUUAGUCGAACCCUCAAAUCACCUCAAACAACGCUAAAACCAUGAAUCAUUCCCCAAUUCAAGCCUAAUGAACUUUGAAAUUUCAAGUUUCCACAAAUGAUGCCGGAACCUAUCAAAUCAAGUCCUAUUAACCUCAAAUUUUGCACACAAGUCAUAAAUGACAUAACGAACCUAUUAAAAUUUUCAGAAUCAGAUUUCGACCCCAAUAUCAAAAAUUCAACCCCCAUGUCAAACUUCCCAAAAAUUUGACUUUCAACAUUUCAAGCCUAAUUCCACUACGGACCUCUAAAUAAUUUUCUGGACAAGCUCCUAAGUCCAAAAUCACCAUACGGAGCUAUUGGAAUCAUCAAAACUCCAUUCCGGGAUCGUUUACACAUAAGUCGACAUCUAGUCACUAUUUUAACUUAAGCUUUAAACCUUGUAACUAAGUGUUCUAAUUCAUUCCAAAACCUCACCGAAACCGAACCAAUUAACCCGAAACGGGGCUGUAAUACUCAAAACGACCGGUUGGGUUGUUACAUUCUCCCCCACUUAAACAUACGUACAUCCUCGAACGUGCCAAGAGUUGUUCCCAAGCCAUCAAAUCACUAUUCCAUCUUACCACGUACGUACCCGGGGGUGAUCCCACGUCACCCUAUUCCACAUAGGCCUGACAGCACAAUACCAAUGAAAAUCCUUAAUUUAACCUUAGCCCAAAAACCUUGGAAUUCAAUUCUCAACCUUUAGGAUUUCUUUUCAAGACAUGAAUAUUACAUUACACAUUGUAUGAUCCUGAACAAGCUGCAUCGAGCCAUAACCAUAACCACGGAUAUAAUCACCUAACAUAUUACACAACUCGCAUGCUCAUAGCACCAUUCCUGAUCACAAUAACUACUCCAAAACCAACCAAGUACUAGUAUUAAACCCCAUAUCGAACCAAACUUCAUCCCAUAACCUUCGUAUACUGUUGAUAAUAAAAGAAACACGCGGAAUCGUGUAACCCCGUAUGAGAUCCAUAAUCACUUUCUAAGCCGACUUUCAAUGUUAUCCUCCCAAAUAUACCGUAAUCGAACCCGAUAGUACCCAUUCUAGGUCCUAUGACCUUAUAUUAUUAAACACGGCUAUCCCACAGACAUGCCACACCAAUAUAACUCAGAGCCACAAAUCGUGUCAUCCGUGCGCCAAUACGCAAUAAUUCAAAUGUACUCAGUCAUGGAAAAUGACUCAAAUGAGAAAACUUCCCCGUAAGAUUAACAAGUACCGCCACAACGAAAUGCUGAAAAUCCAUCACACCGUAGAACCAUCACACGAUUCUAACACAAGGUUCAUACCUUAACAUAACUCCGUUGCAAUGCGUGACCCCAUCCAAACGCUGGUCAAUAUUAUCUACCUCGAGCCACCCUGCUCAAAAUCAAUAACCACGGAGAGGCAAAUAACACAAUGCCACACAAAACCUGAAAGAACCUAACCAAUAUGCAAUCGAUCAUGCAAUACCCAAAUACUCAUCUCGCUCAAAUUCUGCCAUAAGGCCCCCAAUAGAACUGCACCAUGUGUGCAUAUAACCGAUGAAUCACAACUCCUCGUAGCAUAGAAGAGUAACUCACAUACCACUUCAGAACACGAAUAAUUUCAACAUCAACUGAAUGGCACAUCCCUCAACAAUAGCAGUAUGGAGCCAACCAAUCCGACUCGGUGUAUAAUACACAUCCUAAUUGGGCCUACCAAUGGACCCCCAAAUCAAUUUUGGUCACCCACAAAUAUAUAAAUAACCCUCCGAAAACUCACAUCGACUGAAUCAUAAUGCAUCAUAUAAUCUGACUAGCUGCGGCCAUGACUUCAUAGUCCGCAACCAUGAAACAAUUUGCUCCUGAAAACUCUCAGUCUCCAAAUCCAUAGAAUACACAAAUCUCCAUUUUUGAUUCCAUUUCCACAACAUGAAUGUCUAACACAUCUCUUAUACAUGAUCUUCCCACGAGGAAUACUUCACCCAUUCUUUCGUGCCACAUAGAAACAUCUUAAAAUCAACAGUCGAUCAAUCAAGAGAGUGUCGUAAUAUCUAUGACAUAUCCAUAAUUCAAAACAUAGUGCGCCUUCUGAAAUGUACACUCUACCCACGCAAUACCAAAUAGUUAUAGCAUUCAUCUAAACAUCGAAAAUCGUACAUGCCAUCUAAGAAUUUAUGACCUCCCCUUCAAAACUAAACUGUGACCUUGCACACACCAACCUUAAUCCCACACAACACACCGCAUAUAUCAUGCCAUCAUAUGAAAAAUACGAGAACCUCAUAAUCAUUCUGAGUCACAAGUAGAAUACAUAUCCGAUCAGCCAUAAGCCUUCCAUUUGAUCCCACCCGGUAGAAAAUCACAAUACUCAACAUGCUACCUCACACCGAUAGAAAAUAUCCAUCUCAAACCAUGGUGGAAACCAUCCAGAACACUUUGAAAUCCAUUUGCACAUAACCAAGCUAUUAGAACUCAAUUCCUCUAACUCGACCUAGCCACGCAGAAACCUAAGAAUAUUGCCACCAAAACAUCUGUAAAGUCUUACCAUAUCGUGAUUACCCCAAAGAACCGAUCCUACCAUUACCGUACUAGUCCAGCCUACUACCCAGUUGUCCUAUUUUCUCUGAAUUUCUUUUGAAUUACCCUCAAGUGUCAUUUAUCCUUGUAAGAACAUUAUGAUCCUUACCCAAAACUCACUAUAAGACAGCCUUAACAUAAAACCACACCGCCCUAAGGCCCAUAAGCUGUUGUAUUCUUUUUAAGCAUCUUCAUAAAUACCACAACUGUAACACUUACUCUGAAAAUACCUUAUGUGAAUUUGAAAUUGUUUUUCUUACCUUCCUUAUACAAAAAUGCAGAAUCCACAGUCAUACGAAAUUUUCGCAAGUCCAGGUACCAUCAAAUGCAAGUCUCAGAUUUUUUUUUUAUCCAUACACAAGUCCGGAGAAAUUCUCAAUUGCUAUAUAUAAACCUCGAACCUAUUGGAACUCUCGAGAGAGAGAGAGAGAGUCUCCCCCCUUUGUUCAAAUCCAAAUUACACCGCCCAAAUGGGCCAAAAGACACGUGUCCCAUUAGUACAACAACACUCAAAGAAGUAACUCUACUUUAAUACCACCUAUCAAACUCAUACUCUGUGCGCACUACAUUAUUCACAAAUAACAACUCACUCAUCCCAUGAUUUUCAUAUACUCAUAAAGCGCCAUAACCCGUAUCCAGACAUUUCUUUACUAGAGUCAUUCUCGAACUCCACCUCUGCAAGUCAUAACUAACCCACAAGUAUGCCUCAGCCCAAAACUAAACCUUUACAUAUAACCAUGAAAUUGAAUUGUUAACAGCAGGCUCCCCCACUUGGCUCGAAGCCAUAGAUUAAAACACUCGAUAACUCACAAUACCCAUACUCUAUUACUGCCUUAAUACCGCAGUCAGUUCAACAAAAAUUCUUCUCAAGCUCAUACCAUGCCAAUCAUAAAAAAAUACCUCAAUCGUCCGCUUAAGCUCGCAUCCAUUCCCUUAACACUCAAGUCAACUUUCUCAACCAUGUUCAAAUUCAAGUCUCAACACAUACACCCUGCUGGCAGAAAAGAAACUCUAUAUUCACAUCAUAAGGAAUACACCUACGUAGAUUACUCCGUAGGAGAUAACCCACCUGCUUAGUCUCUAAUUGGCAUCUUGUUAUACCCUUUUUGUAGCCACAAUUACUAUGAAAUCACUUAAUCUUUCUGAGUUCAAACUCAAUAACCAGACACGAGAACUUAAUUUGCCCCAAAAUUUAACAACGUGAAAGAUCCUUCAAAACAUUCAUACUCGAGACUGUACGUCACAUCAAAACGAAAAUCAAGCACCCAAUGGCCUUUUCUUUACAUUUAAAGGAAACACUUCUCGUCACAUUCAAAUUUUCUUAACUCAUCCCGCAGUUACAUCAUACUCAUCACAAGGUUAUUCCACCGCUCAUCAAGCCAGAAAUUUCACUCGUAGGGACAUCACCGGACAUAUGAGUCCAAAUGUACAAGUUACAACUGAAGCUACCAUGCUCAAGCUGCAGUCUAACCAUGGCCUCAAGUCCUCCAGACUGGCCAAUCCCCAAAACACAGAAUACACAUCUUGAACUUCGUUCAUAGAAUCACAAGCCGGCGAUGCACAGCUGAUACUGAGCGCUCAUGUGCACAUACAAAUGCGUGGAAGGAAUUCAAGAGUUAUGUCUCAAGCUGAAUCAAUUUCGCACGAUAAGGAAGGAAAGAUGGGAAGUAUAUAUCCUAAAUGCCCUGUAGCCUCUCGAAGAUAGGUAUGGACGCUAUCAUACCGAUCCGCAAGACUCUACUAGACACUUGCUCAUGACUUGUAGAACCUAUGAACCUAGAGCUCUGAUACCACCUUGUCACGACCCAAAAUUCGUUUAGUCGUGAUGGAACCUAACCCAACCUGCUAGGUAAACUAAUUAUGAACUAUCCAAUUCCAUUAACAAUUAUUAAAGCAAUUUAAGUAAAGAAAAAUCUUAUUCUUAUACAUCCCCCAAGAACUAGUAGUGCAAAUCAUGAGCUUCUAAGAACAGAGUAUACAAAGCUGGUAUGAAGUAAAUACACCAUCUGUUUGAAAAGUACAUAAACAGAGUUUUAUGAAUCUAAGGCUGCCAUGAACAAGAGGCAUCUACAACCGAAAUGCAGGUACAUCUUCAUAUCCAGCUCCCAACGAACACAGCAACAUCAACGGCCAAUAUUUGCACGCAAGGUACAGAAGUGUAGUAUGAGUACAACCGACCCCAUGUACUCAAUAAGUAACAAACCUAACCUUAUGUUGAAAGUAGUGAUGAGCUCGUACCAAGGUCAGAAUCCAACUUCCAUAACCAACAAUAUUUCAUAACAACAUAAAACAAGUAAUACCUGAAGUAACUCAAAGAUAAAAUACUCAAUAAAAUCAUGAUUUCUAAAAACAGUUUUGCCUUUCAAGUACAUCAGUGAAAACCCAAAUCGUUUACCGAAGUUGCCAAAAAUAUGAAUAAGUUUAAAAAUAAUAAUUUUUCCAAAAUCCUUUCAAUAAUAAAUAAGAUGUUUUAUUUUCUUUCCAGAUAGCCAGUGUAAAACAAAUGCAUCACUAUGCCCAUAUAUCAACAUGUGUGAGAAGUCAUGAAUGACGUGAUACCGUACAACAUGAGGAAAAUACAUCUAUAUGCCUGUAUGUCAUGGGUGCAUGUUAAUGCAAUAUAUCUCAGAGAUGAAUUCAUCUACUCACACUCUCAGAGUACUCAAUCUCACUUUCUCACACAUUUCACUCAUCAUGCUCAAUCACUCGGUACUGUAUAUGGCCAACCCGACCUAAGGAAGAUCCAUCCCCGAAUAUACACAUCAACUAAUCAUCAGUCACCCAGUACCGAGUAGGGCCAAUCCAGCCCGUGGAGAAGAUCCAUCUCCAGGUAUAUAACGCUUCGGACAAGAUCCAUGUUCAGGGAAGAUCCAUCCCUCAAUAAUAUCAAUCGCGCUCACUGGGGGUGUGCAGACUACGGAGGGGCUCCUACAGCCCAAGCACUAUAAUCCGCACGGACAACUCACGUGCCAUAAUAUCAAUAUCUGGAUCCGCACGGGCAACUCACGUGUUACACGAACAACUCACGUGCUAUAGUAUAAAUAUCCUCACAAACAGGCCCUCGGCCUCACUCAGUCAUCAAUCUCUCUAGUCUCACUCACGGGCUCACAAUGUCAUGAAACUAGCCCGACAACAAUGAUAUAAUGUAUCAAUAAAUAAAAACUGAGACUGAGAUAUGAUAUGAAUGCAUGAAUAUGACUGAGUACGAAAUAUCAAUAAAAUCAGUGAGAUGGCAGUAAGAAACGACCACUAUGGGUCCAAACAAUUUCGGCAUAAUGCCUAAACAUGAUAUCUAGCAUGAUUAACAUGCUCAAUUAUUUUAUCACAUGGUGAAAACACGGACAUCAACAAAGUAGGACCACUAUACAGUGCCAUGGAAACAACAGAGUCCAAAUUCACAUGGUGCACGCCCACAUGCCCGUCGCCUAGGAUGUGCGUCACCUCAACACAAAUUACAUAACACGUCUUUCGGGGUUUCAUACACUCAGCUCCAAGAUUAGAAGAGUUACUUACCUCGAACAAGAUGAAUCUAAUAUCGAGCAAGCUAAACAAUGCUUCCGAAAUCCCAUUCUAUGCGUAUCAACUCCUGAACGGCUCGGAUUUAGCCACAAUAAAUUUGAUUCAGUCCACACAAUUUAUAGGAAUUAAUUCCAUAUCAAAAUACUAAUAUUUUCCCCCAAAAUCCGAAAUUACACUCCAAAAUUUGCUCAUGGGGUCCACGGCUUAGAAUCCGAUGAAACUCACAAAAUCUGACAACCUAUCCAAUUACAAGUUCAACCAUACUAAUUUCACUCAAUUCUGACUCCAAAUCGAUGUUCAAAACUCAAAAAAUCGUUUUAUGAAAUUAUAGGAAUUUCCUUCGAUUUCUAUUGAAGAUUCAAUAAUCAUACACAAAAAAUGAAGAUUAAUUCAUGAAAUAUAAUCACAAGGGAGUCAAGAACACUUACCCCAAGUUGUGUGAAAAAAUUCCUCUCCAAAAUCGCCCAAACCGAGCUCCAAAAUCCGAAAAUGAGUGAAAAUAUCUAACCCUCGAACUUAAAGGGUUCUGCCCAGGCUUUUCGCACCUGCGGAGCCUGGGCUCGCACCUGCGCACCCGCUUAUGCGGAAAAAUGUCGCACAUACGCUGCCCGACUUCCUCGCCAUUUUUCCGCUUCUGCGAAUCCCUGCCCGCAUCUGCGCAAUCGCAGGUGCGGAAAUCCCAUCGUACUUGCGACCUCUGUUGACACCCUCCAUCUCUACACCUAUGCUCGAGCUGCCGCACCUGCGGCCAAGACCCUCGCAGGUGCAAUAACAUCAGAGGCAGCAAUUCCAGCAUUUUCCUUAAGUCAGAAUUUGAUCCGUUAACCAUCCUGAAACUCACCCGAGGCCCCCGGGACCUCAACCAAACAUACCAACAAGUCCUAAAACAUCAUACGAACNNNNNNNNNNNNNNNNNNNNNNNNNCGCCAGAACCUAUCAAAUCAAGUCCGAUUAACCUCAAAUUUUGCACACAAGUCAUAAAUGACAUGACGGGCCUAUUAAAAUUUUCAGAAUUGGAUUUCGACCCUGAUAUCAAAAAGUCAACCCCCCCUCCCCCGGUCAAACUUUCCAAAAAUUCGAGUUUUGUCAUUUCAAGCCAAAUUCCACUACGGACCUCCAAAUAAUUUUCUGGACAUGAUCCUAAGUCCAAAAUCAUCAUACAUUAGAAUCAUCAAAACUCUAUUCCGGGGUCGUUUACACAUAAGUCGACAUCCGUUCAUUAUUUUAACUUAAGCUUUAAACUUUGAAACUAAGUGUUUCAAUUUAUUUCAAAACCUCACCGGACCCGAACUAAUUAACCCGAUAAGUCAUAAAAUAAUUGUAAAGCAUAAAUUGAGCAGUAAAUGGGGAAACAGAGCUGUAAUACUCAAAAUAUCCGAUCAGGUCGUUAUACAAUGUAAGUUAAAUACAUAGAUUAUGGGUAGAUUUUAACAUAUAAAAAUUGUGAAAAUCAUGUGUUUAGGUGAAAAACCUAGGUUUUUGAUAAAAAUAGAAUUUCACCACGAAAAUAAUUAUGGAAUUGAGUGAAAACUAUAUAUUCGAGUUCGUGAGGUUAUGGGUAACAUUUUUCUUCAAAAAAAUUCGGAAUCCGGGCACGUGGGCCCGGGGGUGAAUUUUAGGAAUCUUUCAAUUUGGGUUGGGUAAUUACUCUAAUAGUUAAAUUAUGAAAUUUUGAACAUGUAUUGAUUAAUUUAUACUCCCUCCAUUUUAAUUUAUGUGAACCUAUUUUUCUUUUAGUCUGUGCCAAAAAGAAUGACCCAUUUCCUUAUUUGGAAAUAAUUUACCUUUAUGCAAUGAUUUAUAGCUACACAAAAUAUAUGUGCCUCAUUUUACACCACAUGUUCAAAAGUCUUCUCUCUUUUCUUAAAAUCCGUGCCCAGUCAAAUAGGUUCACAUAAAUUAAAAUGGGGGGAGUAUAACAUUUGACUAGUUUCGGGUCGUUUGGCAAAGAGUUGCGGAUUUAAAGCAUAUUUAUGGAUCGUGAGUGAGCUUGAGAACGACGUAAGUCUCUUGCCUAACCUUGUAAGAGGGAACUCAUCCCCUUUGGCGUAUUUUGUUGUGAAUUUCAUGUGUGGGGAUCUACGUACGUACUAGGUGAUAAGAGUCUAUACGUAGCUAUAUUCUAUGUGAUGUCUGGGUAGUCUUAGACUUACACCAUGCUUUGUUUGAUCUAUUAUGUUGGUCAUACAUAUUAGUUGUCUUAAAUAGAGCUGAGAUUAAGGAUUUUAAGAUUUAAAGUCUCCCUUUUAAAUUUCUUAUGUGUGGGGAAGAAUGGAAGAAUUUUAUAAUAACGUUGAGAAAUCUAUGUCCACUCGCGUCGCAAGUAUUUUCGCGAGCGAAGUAAAUUUUCUCUACUCUCAUGCGAGAAGUUCGCCUCGGCAGGUUAAUAGAUGCAUCUAUGGUUCGUGUCGUUCGACCCUCAGCAGUGCACACAAUAUAUACACAUAUUUUGAAUCGGGUCGUACGACCUCGGCAUAAAUCGUACGUAAUAAUACUUGGAGCCUAACCUUCUUGAUAUGAUUUUAUUGGCUUGGGAGGUUACAAUUAUUUAAAUGAUGGGAAUUGACUUGGGAUUUAUUAUUAGUGAAAGAAAUGUUUAUUUAUCGCAUGUUAUAGAGAUUUAUGGUUGUUUACAUAACUCAUGCUUAUUUAGAAUUUCUAUAUUUUAUUGUUAGCCCAUAGUAAGUGUCGAAGUCGACCCCUCGUCACUACUUCUUCGAGGUUAGACUAGAUACUUACUGGGUACAUAUUAUUUAUGUACUCACGCUAUACUUAUGCACUAACCGUGCAGGAUCUGAGGCAGGUGCAUCUGGAUAUCAUCCCGACGCGCACUCCUGAUACAUCGAGACUUAGUGGUGAGUUGCCUUUCCAAGCCGUUCUGCAGCACCCGAAAUCUUUCUUUUGUAUUUACUUUCUGUCUACUUUAUUUCAGACAGUAGUUUAGUAUUUUGUGCAUUCUACUAGUAGCUCAUACACUUGUGACACUAGGUCUUGGAAUUUUGCUAGUAGACGUUUAAUGAUUUUUGAGUAUUUAUUUCACUACACUUAAUCUUACAAUUUGUUAUGUUUUAUUUUAUUAAAUUAUCUCAUCUCUUACUUAUGUAAUAAUUAAAAAUCAACUAUUUCAAAAUUGUUAAAAGAGUAAAUACACGGUUAGUUCAGUGUUGGCCUGCCUAGCGGCGACGUUGGGCGCCAUCACGACCUAUAAGAAAUUGGGUCGUAACAGACCUUGUCUCCAAAUCUGUCUUAUAUACCUGUUAAACACGGUAAUAAUAUUAUGCACCAAAACUUUUAAAAGUGUAUCUAUUAUAUACCACUUCGGUAUUUGACCACAUUUGCUUAAAAAUUACUAUUACACACGCCAAUCAAUACCUGAUACGUGUCAUAAAUCGAGGAAAAAAAUAGAAAAGAAGCUCCACUCCCCCCACCCCACCCCACCCCCUCUUCUCAUCAUCCCAAAGGAAAAAAGGAUGCAUAAAAGGACAACCCCCACCCCACCUUAUCUUCCCAACCCCAUCAUCUUCUCCACCACUAUCACAUCACCACCAACCCUUCCACCAUAAGUACCUUUUUCUCUAAAUAUAGAUUCAACUCUUUGCCAUUUUUUAACAAAUUCAGUAACAUCCAUCACAAAUCUUUAUAAGAAACUUCAGAUUCAAGCUCAAACCCAAAGCUUUAAACUUGUUAAUGGUUUUUUUGAAUUUUAUCAAAAUUAAUCACCAAGUUUUCAGUAUGUUUAAGCAAAUUUUAACUCAAAAAUAAUAACGAAUUCAAACUAAUUUUGUCUGUCAUGGAACAUCAAAAUCGCCAAGACCGGGUUAAAUUUUUAAACUUUUCCAAAAGGUCAAUAAUGGUGAUUUUUACAAGACCCAAUAGCUCUUAUAUUCUUCUUAUUUUUCUUCUUAGUCAUGGGAGGUUGGAGAGACAAAAUAAGAGGAGUAGACAAAAUUGGUGUGGGGGUGGGGAAGAAGAGGAAACGGGGGGAGGGGAAACGCGGGGGAAGGGGUUGGGGAAGAAGACAUAGGUAUGUUCUUUUCUUUAAUUUGAAAAGGAAAUAGUAAAAAGGGGAAGGAAAAAAAACUUAAUUUCAGAAUUUUUUUUCUCUUGUGACAUGUAUUUUUUUUAGCUUUCACGCGCUUGUGUUAUGUGUAAUACACGCACAUGACACAUGGCAAAAGAGGUGUGUAAUAGACACUUUUAAAAGUUUUGGUGUAUUAUAUUAUUCUCGUAUUUAACAGGUGUGUAAGAGGGAUUUGGGGACAAGGUCGAUAUGUAAAGUAUGUAUUUUGCGUAAUAUUUAUGUAAUGCUUGAAUGGGAAAUUCUCCCACCACUUAUAACUACCAUCCUCAAUCCGCAUCCACCACCAUCACCAAUCGAUGUAGCUACUUAUAUCACUAGCCAUCAUUUGCGAUAAUCACUAUCAAUCACCAAAAAUCACCACCAUCACCCAUCACCAUAUGUCGCCAACACUACUUUCACUCUUCACCACCAUUAGUCAUUAUCAUCAUUUGCCAUCAUCAUCACUUGUCAACCACCUCAUCACUUGUUAUUACUUUUUUUUUAUUCCUCUUUGAUCCCCUUUUAUUGGAGUUAUUGCUCCUUUGGUGACUCGAACCCACAACCCUGUAAUUAUUAUCACUUUAAACUUCCAUAUAUUCUCAUAAUAAACCCAUCUUUAAAGCUACUUUCUCAACAAGCUCUAAUUUUUUCUUCAUACCUUCGGGUAUAAGAUUAGGCUAUGCUUGAGCCUAAAUUCAUAUCAAAGGUAUGAAUUUGAAAUGCAUUGAACUUCAAAGAUUUUGAUAGAGUUUAACUUCAGACCCCACCCAACGGUCUACAAUUUGAAACUUUAGACUCGCGAUUGAUUCGGGUAUUUAAUUCUGAGGCGGUUAAACUUUAAAAAAAUUAUAAACUCUGACUAUUUAUUAAACAAGAUUCCCAAACAGAUCUUACUUGGGCACUUCGCCAAACUUAAAGCUGGAAACUUAGCUAGCGUUUGGACAUAAAAUAGAAACUUAGCUCGCGUUUGGACAUAAAAUUGGUUAAAACUUGGAAAAUGAGUUUUUAAGUUGUGUCGUAAAUAAUAUUUGAAAGUUGAAGUUGUGUUUGGACAUGCAUUUUAUUUGAAAAAAAUUUGUAAGUUUUGUGAUUUUAACCCAAAAAUUGAUUUAGACCAAUAUUUGGGAACUUGAAAUUUUUUAUCAAAAACUAACCAUAUUCCAUAUGCACAAACAAUAUUUUCAAAAAAUAUUGAAAAUAAAUUACCAAUUGUUUUGGCCAAACGGGAACUUAUCUAGCUAUAUAUAAUAGGAGAGGCAAUUAAAGACAACAUAGUAAGCCAAGUGACAACAUAAUAAAAAGCCAAUUCGUAAUUUUAGGACAAAGUUAGUUAGGUUAGGUAAUAGUUAGUUCUUUUCUGAAUUUAAAUUUUAAUAAAAUUAAAUUAUGCAUUAUUUAUCAUUAAUAAUUAGUUACUCUUUUUGAAUUUGAAUUUAAGAAGAAAAGUCUAAUUUGAAUUUGAAAUAAUUAUAAGCAACAUAGUAAAACAUAUAAAAAUAAAAAUGUUAUAUCGAAAUAAAAUAGNNNNNNNNNNNNNNNNNNNNNNNNNNNNNNNNNNNNNNNNNNNNNNNNNNNNNNNNNNNNNNNNNNNNNNNNNNNNNNNNNNNNNNNNNNNNNNNNNNNNNNNNNNNNNNNNNNNNNNNNNNNNNNNNNNNNNNNNNNNNNNNNNNNNNNNNNNNNNNNNNNNNNNNNNNNNNNNNNNNNNNNNNNNNNNNNNNNNNNNNNNNNNNNNNNNNNNNNNNNNNNNNNNNNNNNNNNNNNNNNNNNNNNNNNNNNNNNNNNNNNNNNNNNNNNNNNNNNNNNNNNNNNGGAAGAUUAUCUAUAGCGGAGUAAUGAAUGGACAUCCACAAUAUAAUAUUUUUAUAACACUCCCCCUUGGAUGUUUCAUUAAAAGAUAAUGUGCCCCGUUAAAACCUUAUUAGGAAAAAUCCAGUGAGAAAAAAACUAAUGAAGGAAAAAGAGUACACAUAUUUAGUAAUACGCAUUUCUAACUGCCUCAUUAAAACCCCAUGGGAAAAAACUUAGUAAGAAAAAAGAGUACAGUGCGUAUUUCACUCCCCUGAUAAAAAUCUUGUUUCAGAUAUUUGAGUCUCCGCAUUCCAAUAUUGUAUAUCAUCUUCUCAAAAGUUGAAGUUGGCAAAGACUUAGUGAACAAAUUUGCCGGAUUGUCACUUGAAUGGAUUUGUUGCACAUCAAUGUCACCAAUUUUCUGAAGAUCAUGUGUGUAGAAUAAUUUUGGUGAAAUGUGCUUCGUUCUAUCUCCUUUUAUAAAUCCUCCCUUUCAUUGGGCUAUGCAUGCAGCAUUGUCUUCAUAUAAAAUUGUGGAUCUUUUAUCACAUUCCAAACCACAUUUUUCUCGAAUGAAAUGAAUCAUUGAUCUCAACCAUAUGCAUUCCCUACUUGCUUCAUGAAUAGCUAUUAUCUCAGCAUGAUUUGAAGAAGUAGCAACAAUAGAUUACUUUGUGGAACGCCAUGAUAUGAUAGUACCUCCACAUGUAAACACGCACCCAGUUUGAUAUCGAGCUUUAUGGGGAUCAGAUAAAUAACCUGCAUUUGCAUAACCAACAAGAUUUGCACUACCUUUGUUAUCAUAAAACAAACACAUAUCAAGAGUUCUCUUUAAAUAUCAUAAUUUAUGCUUAAUCUCAUUCCAAUGUCUCCGUGUAGAAGAAGAGCUAUAUCUUGCUAGUAAAUUAACAGAAAAUGCUAUGUUAGGCCUUGUAGCAUUAGCAAGAUACAUAAGUGCACCAAUUGCACUGAGAUAGGGUGUUUCAGGACCAAGGAGUUCCUCAUCCUCUUCUGGAGGUCGGAACGGGUCCUUAUUCACUUCAAGUGAUCGAACAAUCAUUGGUGUACUCAAUGGAUGUGCUUUGUCCAUGUAAAAGCGUUUUAAGACCCUUUAUGUAUAGGCAGAUUGAUGUAUAAAGAUCUCGUCUUCUAAAUGUUGAAUUUGCAUACCAAGACAAAGUUUUGUCUUUCCAAGAUCUUUCAUCUCAAAUUCUUUCUUAAGAUAUUCAAUUGCCUUUUGGAGCUCUUUUGGAGUUCCAACAAGAUUUAUGUCAUCAACAUAAACAAUAAGUAUAACAAAUUAUGAUGCUAUUUUCUUUAUAAAAAUACAUGGACAAAUAACAUCAUUUAUGUAACCUUCUUUCAACAAAUAUUCACUAAGGCAAUUAUACCACAUGCGUCCAGAUUGCUUUAAACCGUACAAAGAUCUUUGUAAUAUGAUUGAAUAUAUUUCCCGAGAUUUUGAAUUUGUUUCAGGCAUUUUAAAUCCUUCAGAGAUCUUCAUAUAGAAUUAAUCAAAUGAGUCGUAUAGGUUAUGACUUACAUUUAAAUGGCAUGACAUCUUCAGGUGUCUGGACUACAGGUUCGAUCCUCACAAUCUUUUACAAUAUUAUGCACUAUAUUGUAUCAAAUAUAUCAUCGACGAUCAUUUCGUAUCAGUUCGCAAACGACAUAACUUGUUGAGAUCUCAUCACUUUCUUUAUUUUCAAGUACCUGAACUUUUUCUGGAGUUUCAUGAAAUGUUAUGUCGUGGGCUCUUCCAGAGCUUAUUUCCUCCUUAUUAUGAUCAUUUUGAUCAUUUGCUCCUAUUCUUUUCAAGGAUUGUUAUCUUUAGAACCGAUUGGUCUACCACGCUUCAUGCAUACAGUAAACUCUAUCCUUUAGGGACUUUAAUUUUAAUAGGAGCAUUUGCAGCUGAAAUGUGAUAUUUAAUUUUGGAUCAGCAAAUGAUUCUGACAUUUGACUUGAAUUAUCUUCUAAGCGAGGAUCAUAUUAAUGAUAAUUCGAUUCAUAUAGCAUAUUUUCAGCUGUUUUAUUCCAUCCCCCAAAUGUUAGAAAAACUAACUCAUAUCCCCAAUCUUCUUUGGGAAACAUAUCUUUGUGCAUUGUGGUAGAGAAACUAAUCAUAUACCACACAUCAAAAGUUAUUAGAUAGUAAAAAUAUUUGGUUUCUUUAUCCUAAACCAAUUGUGAGAGGAGGACUUAUUAUAUUUUGUUGGUCUGAUACCUACAAGUGCUGAUGUAUGCAAUUUAGAAAAUCUUAGAUCAACACAUGAGGCUUUGUUCUUAUAAGCAAUAGUUUAGCCAUUAAUAGGAGGUAUUCAAUGCUAAACUAGCUUGGAUAUAAACCAGCAUCAUCAAGAUGAACUAUCUUGAUUUCAUAAUCUGAAAAUUAUGCUCUUAAUUGAGAAAAACAAUUUCAAAUGCCAAACUACAGGUUGACAAUAAAUAUACAUGUAACCAUCUUAUAUAUGCAUCUAUAAGUGGUUCACAUGAUAGGUGAAUGGGCCUAUAUUCACCUUUUAUAUAUUUCAGAAUUCGGAGAUUUUAGUCCCAACUUUAACUGGUAUAAUUAAGUUAUUAUGAGAACAAGCAACACAAGAGAAUUCUUGAAGAAUCUUCUAGUUUUUCAGUAUAUGUUUAUCUGAAUUCUCAAAUAGCUCAUUUAAAAAUGGCAAAUGAAAACUUCAAGUUUAUCAUGGCAUGUGCUAUCUCUAAGUAAACUUCUGGUUUACUAUGGCACAAACUUUUGCAUCAGUAAACUUCUGAUUUACUGUGGCUACUUUUGUAUCAGUAAGUUUCUGAUUUACUGUGACUGCUUUUGCAUUAGUAAACUUCUGGUAUAUUGUGAUACAUGAUGUAGUACAAAUUUAAAGAAUAAGGCAGGUAUCUUCUCAUAUACAUAUUUACUCUAUAUGAUUGUGGAAACAUGAAGAUUUUCAAUCUUUCAAUCAUUUGUAGUCUCAGUAUGAUAGCCAUGUAUAUUAGUAAACUUCGAUUUAUCAUAACAUAUGUUUUGACCAAUAUAAUGACAAAUAAGCUCUUUGGGAGCCUUCCAUUUAUUGUCCACAAUCAAAUAUUAUUCAUACACUACUCGUGUCAUGUGUCUUCUAGACAAAUAGUUAGCUCUUCGGGAGCUUUUGUUGUACUACCAAAUAUUGUUCAGACACUUCUAGUGUCAUGAGAGAAAAUCAUAACCAAAUGAACAAUAUAAAGCUAAUUCUAAAUUUAUAAAUGACAAAAAUUAAGAAUUUUAAUAUUUCUACUACUAACUUUGUGAUAAAUAUCUCCUUCAAGGAGAAAUAUCAUUAACAUCUGAAUAUUUUGUAUCAAUACGGCAACCACAUAGUCAUUGCAUCUUUUAAGGAAAGAUACACGAGUUGCUAUUUCCUUCGGAGAAUUCAAUAACUAACCAUAAUAUAUUAAUGUGGUUGUAGUAGAAAGCAUUCUACAAGAAUGCUUUUGCCUUAGAAUGAUUUAAUAAAAUUAUCCAAGAUAUUUUACGUACAACAAGUACGUAUGGCAAUGAUCUUUAUGCUACAAAAAUAAUAUUUAUAUCCUCUAUUAUUCUACCUCUCCAGGAUGUGAGUUGUGGUAUUUCUUCAUUUACUCCAGGGAAUAAAAAUAUACUUCAAAAAUAACUUUGAAUAGCUCAUUAUUUUGUUUAAGUACAUAAAGAUACUGCUUCAAAAUAUUUUCCUACUUCAAGAGAAAAUUUCAAUUGUGUUACUUCUUCAGGAGCAAAUUUUAAAUACGAAAUAUUGAGUAUAUAUUCUCUCAAUCAUAUUAACUCUUCUGGAGGUGAAUUGUAAUAUAUUUACAACAAGAGCGCGUUCAUAUUUACGACUUUAUUAAUAUUAUCACAUUCACUUCAGGGAAUAGAUUAAUAUUUAUAAAAAAUUCUCAUCCUUCAGGAAAUCGAACAUAAUUAUCUGAACGUGCAUUAAUCACAUCAAAUUGUGAUGCUUCAACCUCUUUUAAAAUAUUUACUACUUCAGGAGCAAAUCGAGGCGUGCAUGUAAUAUAGAGAAUAUUUCUCUAACUUAUCUUUAAUUGUAACCAUAGAAAGCCUAAAUUAUCACUUCUGAUGGUCAUAGGCAUAUACCACUUCUGGUAGUUAACAAAAUUUAGUUACAAUGAGAUAUACGAAAUAUAACACUUCUGGUGGUUGUAUAUUUCUUGCAAACUCUGCUGGAGUUUAAGUGGAUCUAACAAUGUUAUUCACUUUGUAAUCCUUUAUUAAGAUAAUAAGGAUGAAAACAAAUACCAAAAUAGGUACUAUAUACGUAACAUAUAACCAAGCAAGCGAUGAUAAAGAUAUUAAAAUAUAAGCAAAAGGCUCAAAUUAAAUUACGCAAAUUUGGCCACUCCAUAUGUAAGUGAUAUCUACAUCACUACUGCCAAGAAGAAAAACUCACCACCUCAAGGAUAUAAUCUGCCUUAUGAUACUCGGAAUGAACAAGAUCUGACCACGGACAUAAAAGUGUCGCCUUACAUCGGAGAUGAACACUGAAAUAGAAAUUAAAUUCGAUGUAAGUGCUCAAAAUGACAGAGUCUCGUGCUGAUAACGUGUUAUAAAAUAAAGAUUAUAAAAGAAAUAAACUGAAGACAAGUAUGAGGGAGAUUGAUAUUUUAUUCAACUUUCAAAGUUAUGUUUAUAAUGAACUGAAAACUACUCUAUUUAUAUAAGAAAGGAAGUAGCUGCAAGGCUUUUCAGGAAGCAGUUGUAAGACUUUUCUUUAGCUACUUGUAAGCUGUCUGCAUGAGCUGCUUGCAACCUACCUGUUUAAUAAAAAGUUGCUGCAAAUUAUUUCAUGGAGUUGCUUGCAACCUGCCUGCAUCAGCUGCUUCUAGAUAAAUUUUAACAGAGUACUAAAUAAAUAAGAUUAUCUAUAGCGGAGUAAUGAAUGGACAUCCACAAUAUAAUAUUUUCAUAAUAACUCAUUAACUUUAGGACAAAAAAAUUGUUAUUCAAUUAAACCAAAUGUCAAGAUACUACAAAAUAUUCUCGGCUCGGGUAUAAAUACUAGUUUUCAGUAAUAGUACAGUAAUAACAAGUUGCUCUGCCAAACAAAUAAAGAGGUCCUGAAUUCGACUGUAAAGAAGAGUUAGAAACCCCUUUACGCACCAUCCUUAAAAUUCAAUUCUCAGAAAUCAAUGGCCGAUUUACCUAUAGUUCGAUUUGAGGAGAAAAUCAUAGAAACAGUGGAGAAAAACCCUGUAGUGGUAGUCAUUGGUGAGACCGGUUCUGGUAAAAGUACACAACUUUCACAAAUGCUUUAUAAAAGAGGGUAUGCUAAAUCUGGAAUGAUCGCUGUUACUCAGCCUCGCCGUGUUGCUGCAGUUUCUGUUUCUAGGUAAUCUUCCUAAACUUUGUAUCUUUACAAUUUACAUGUCGUGUUGAAUUUAUUUUGUUUCCUUUUUUUUUUUCCUCUUCAAAUUUAAUGCACUCAAUAUGUUCGUUUAUUUGUUUGUUAAAUCAAAAUUUUCAUUGUUUUCUUGUCCGGCUACCUGCUACAUCCUACCCGCAAUUAUGAGUAGAACUCUGGCCACCAUUAGAGUGCCGGAGCUAGGAGUUUAUACGAGGUGAUUAAAAAAUGUCACACAGAGAAUUUUAACCUAUGACGUAAAGCAAUUUUUAGAACCCCUUUGCGACUUUACUUGAACCUUCCCUUAGUUUUUGCCCUAUUUGCACAAUAUAAUUUUUCAACGAAGGGGAUUCAAUUCAUCUUACUCCAUCUCUAUUCUUCGGGCAUCUUUUUCGUCCUAAAAAUUGGAAGAGCGUGGGUAGGGCGGGCUUGGAGUGGCUCACUGGGUUAUUUAAUGUCAUUUUUAGGACCAAAAAGAUGCCCGAAGAAUGGAGAUGGAGUACGAUGGACCCGCUGUAUAAGAACAAGGGUGAUAUCCAAAGUUGCAACAACUACUGGGGCAUCAAGUAACUAAGCCAUACUAUGAAAGUUUACGAGAGGGCGGUGGAGCUGAGGUUGAGGAUUGUGACUAUUUCUGAAAAUUAGCUCGGAUGUAUGCUGGGACGAUCGACUACGGAAGAUAUUCAUCUUGUUAGGAGGUUGAUGGAGCAGUAUAGGGAGAGGAAGAAGUAUUUACAUAUGGUGUUCAUCGACUUAGAGAAGACUUAUGAUAAAGUGCCCGGGGGGGCAUGUGGAGAUGUUUGGAGGCUAGAUGUGUUCCUGUUGCAUUCAUUAGGGCUAUUCAGGACAUGUAUGAUAGAGCUAAAACCCGAGUGAGGACCGUGGGAGGGGACUGGAACACUUCCCAGUUAUGAUGGGGUUAUACCAGGGGUCAACCCUCAGUCCUUUUCUUUUUGCCUUGGCGAUCGACGCAUUGGCGCGCCACAUACAAGGGGAGGUGCCGUGGUGCAUGUUAUUUGCAGAUGACAUUGUUCUGAUUGAUGAGACUUGAGGAGGUGUUAACUGUUAACGAGAGGUUAGAGGUUUGGAGACAGACCCUGGAGUCUAAAUGUUUCAAGUUGAGCCGGACCAAGACAUAAUACUUGGAGUGUAAGUUCAGUGGUGCAACUCAGGUAGUGGACGAAGACGUGAAGCUUGAUUCACAAGUCAUACCUAGAAGAGAAAUAAAUACCUUGGGUCAGUUAUACAAGGGAAUGGAAAGAUUGAUAAGGAUGUUACACAUCGUAUUGGGGCGGGGUGGAUGAAAUGGAGGCUCACUUCCGGUGUUUUGUGUGAUAAGAAUGUGCCACCAAAACUUAAAGGUAAGUUCUACAGAGUGGUGGUCAGGCCGACUAUGUUGUAUGGGGCGCAGUGUUGGCCAGUCAAGAACUCCCAUGUCCAAAAGAUGAAGCUGAAAUGAGGAUGUUGAGAUGGAUGUGCGGGCAUACCAGGUUAGAUAGAAUUAGAAAUGAAGUUAUUCGGGACAAGGUGGACGUGGUCCCUGUGGAGGACAAGAUACGGGAGGCGAGACUUAAAUGGUUCGGGCAUGUGAUGAGGAGAGGCGCAGAUGCACCGGUGAGGAGGUGUGAGAGGUUGGCCCUGGAGGGUCUAAGGAGAGGUAGAGGCAGGCCGAAGAAGUAUUGGGGAGAGGUGAUUAGGCAAGAUAUGGCGUUGCUCCAACUUACUGAGGACAUGACCAUGGAUAGGAAGGUAUUGAGGUUGAAAAUUAAGGUAGAGGGUUAGGACAGGUAGCCAAGCGUUGUCCUUGUCAGUAGUAGUAGCCUUAGUACGUCAUUUAGUGUUACUUGUGUAUUCUCGUAUCCUUUGACUUCUGUGAUUACUUGUUAUUGCUUUCGUGUCGGCUUUCUAAUUACAAUACCUAGUGUAUUUAGUUUUGUAUUUUUGCUUCGGUUUUCUAAUUGGUAUGCUUGUUGUUGUUGCCCUUCCUUUUCCCUAUCCUAAGCCGAGGGUCUUCCGAAAACAACCUCUCUGCCUUCUUGAAGGUAGGGGUAAGGUCUGUGUACACACUACCCUUCCCAGACCCCACUUGUGGGAUUACACUGGGUUUCUUGUUGUUGUUGUAUUCAAUUGAACGACCUUCCUUCAAGCUGCCUCCGCCACCGCCCACCAAGACUUGAGCAGGCAAUUCACUUGUACAUGUCUAUGAGAAGUUCAGUUCAAAGUUGCAGAUGAAGUUAGUCUAGUUAGGCAGGUUGUGGGAGCUAUACCAAUCUCUUGGAGUUAGUUAGAGUUAGAGUUAAGGAGUCAGUUAUGAAAUCUCGGAAGGAUGAGAGACUAUUAAAUAUUCUGAAGGAAAUUGCUAACCAGAAGACAUUUCAAUGGAGAUGCGAGAAGAGAAAACAGGGUUAUAUAGUAGUAAGAAUUUAGGUAAUCUGAGAUUUUACUUCCCUCUUAAUAAGAGAGUCAUUGAGGAUUAUGCUAGCAAGUAUUUAGUAUGUAUAGUUAGAGACUUCCUUUAUGCCAGAUGAUGAAAAUUUAAGAUACGUUACCUGACGUGGGAAGUCUUGUUGGUUGAGAUGUUUAGUUGGGGCAAGGGUAAAUGAGGAAAAAGACUUAGUAGUAUAAGUGCAUUUUUUAUUGUGUUUGAUAAAACCAGUGGAGGAGAUUGCCACAUUAGCCUUGACCUGAAUCCACUCUUGAAGGUAAUAGAAGCAUGAAAAAGUGCUAUUCGACAUUUUUUAUAUAUAUAUAUGGUUUAUGCUAUAGUUACACCAACAUCUGGUGUUCUCUAUUUGCUUCAUUCUUCGGCUUGUAACUUUAUUUUGGUUCAUUCUUUGAUAAUUUCCUUCAACUUUUCAUGGACAGACGAGUUGCACAGGAGCAAAAUGUUCGACUUGGAGAGGAAGUCGGUUAUGCCAUAAGAUUCGAAGAUAGAACUUCGGAGAAAACACAUAUCAAGUACUUUUUGUGGUUCUUAAUUAUUGUUACUAGCAAUUACCAUCGUUGGCGCUUUCUAUUGGUUUAGUUCCCUUGCUUCUUUUUUGACAUUUAACUGGAAUAGUACUCAAACUGCAGAUAUCUUACGGAUGGAGUGCUCCUCCGCGAGAGUCUUUUUAAUCCGGAGCUGAAUCAAUAUUCCGUCAUCAUAUUGGAUGAAGCACAUGAGAGGAGUUUGAACACGUUAGAUCCAUUUUCAAUGACCUUCUUUAUGUUUAUCUCGGCUUAACAUUAUAGAGAUAUAUCCAACUGUUAGAUUAUUGUGGUCUUUCAUUCACCUUUUGCUUAGAUCGUGUUGGUUAUCUCUAUAGAUGACUUUUUUCAUUAUUGAAUUAUCAAUCACAGGGAUAUAUUGCUUGGUUUAAUGAAAAGAUUAAUCAAAUGGCGUCACUCAAACUUGAAAGUUUUGAUCACAUCAGCCACUCUUGAUGGUGGAAAGGUAUCUAGGUUCUUCUCCGACUGUCCCGUCCUUACCGUACCAGGCGAGUUAUUUCCCGUGGAAAUAGUACACAUCUCAGAGCGCCCUAAAAACUAUGUGGAGGCUUCUCUAAAAACAGCUAUUGGUAUGACGAGAACUAUGACAUCUCAUAUUUGUUUUAUAAGUUUGAAUCUUGGUUUUAUUCCUUCAAUUGUUUCUUGCUUUCUACUAAUCUGAAAUGUUCACCUUUCCUUUUGUGUGUAAAAUUUCUUGUUUUCCUGAAGUGGUCUGACAAUUCAUUUUGGUGCAUAGAUAUUCACGUACGGGAGCCAGAAGGGGACAUUUUAAUAUUUUUGACAGGGCAGGUGAGUUUUAUGGAGUAUUUCCUGUCUGAUGCUUUUUCUGUAUAUCGCAGUCCUUACUCUAUUUCCCAGAAAAAAAUAAAUGUUCGAGAUGCAAAUCACUAUUUCCGGGAAAGUGAAAUUGAGAAUCUUAUUUAGGAUGACAUAGAGAAGUUGGUAAUGAAGUUGGAGAAGAAAAUUCAAAGCUUAGAUGAAGGUUCUUGUCUGGAUGCCUUAAUCCUUCCUCUUCAUGGAUCCUUGCCACCCGAGAUGCAGGCAAGUUAUUUCCUUCUCAAACUCCUUGCCCUGAAAUCCUGAAAAUUCUAGAUCUAGUUGGUUCAGAUAUUAGCUGAUCUAUGUUGUGUCUGACUUGACCCUUCCAAUUACACGAGAGAUUUCAUAUUUAAACUGAGAGUUUUACUGAAGGUGAACUAAAGUGUCAUAGUCCUCUAGUCAAGUUAAAAAUAGGAGUAUCAUAGUCCUAGCUGGCUUUCUGGAACCGAUAUUGGUAGUUGUCUGUGCUGCAACAAUUUCAUGUUUGUUUCACUUUUAGGUGUGAACGGUAGCAUCUUGAUUGACUCAAUCCAUUUGAUUACCAGUUGACAACAAUAAGUUUUUUGGUUGUUGAAAUAUGCGAUAAAUUAUUUGGUUUCCGUAGCUGUUGUGACACAGUUUAUAUAGUGACUCCACAACAUAAGUAGAAGUCAAAUAUGUGGUUGAGUUGAACUUAGCUUGGAGGACAAACUUUUGUUUGAUUGAUCAUCUUCUUUAUGAAACUUCAGAUGAUUGUUCUUCUUCUUUGUCUUCAUCCACAUUUUAAAUGGUUUACCGAGCUGACUACUGGUAGUUGCGUGGUUAUUGCUCUUGUAAAUUCUAUAUGCGUUUGCGAGUAUUUUCCUUUGGUUCUCUUAUCACAGUUAUGUAUUGAACAUUUUUCCUUUUGUUAUUUCUUUUGAUGGGCAGGUGCGUGUUUUCAGUCCUCCACCUCCAAAUUGUAGGCGGUUUAUUGUUUCUACAAAUAUUGCUGAAACGUCUUUGACUGUUGAUGGUGUCGUGUAAGUAAACCUGACACCACUAUGCACGAUUAUUGGAGGUUAUAUAAGUGUUAACAUAUUGUCUGCUUCAUUGGUUCUUAUCCUUUUAUGACUUUGUGAUACUUAGAAUGCUCAACUUUCUGUUUCUCACUUCCCGACAGAUGAUUUGCAGUGAUUGAUCACAUGCAAUAGUGUGGUCGUCAAAAAGAAGAAAACUCAGUUAAUUGCUAAACUAAUUGUUAUCUAGAGAACCAAUAAAGGUAAAUGGGUGAAAUCAAUGGGAUUUUAAUCUUUCCCCUUGGUGUUUUAACGUGCUCUCUUGAGCAUGAAUAUGCAAUAUAUGUUUCACUAUCAAAAAUUUGGGGAGGCGAGUAAUGCUUACACUUGGAGUGCUAAACCUUGUACAACGGGUAUUUCCAGCUAUUAGCAUUUACUUUAAAGUACAAAAAGGGCAGCCCGGUGCACUAAGUUCCCGCUAUGCGCGGGGUCCGGGGAAGGGUCGGACCUUAAGGGUCUAUUGUACGCAGUCUUACCCUGCAUUUCUGCAAGAGGCUGUUUCCACGGCUCGAACCCGUGACCUCCUGGUCACAUGGCAGCAACUUUACCGGUUACGCCAAGGCUCCCCUUCUUACUUUAAAGUAUAAACGCUUCAAAAUUUUUAGUUUACUAUCCCAGGAGUGCUAUUGUAUAUUUGUUUGAAUAAUAUUCGAGUAAGCAUCUUCUCAAGGAAAAUAAUCAUAAUAAUAAAAUAAUUGAGCACACAUCUUUUAAACAAAGACCCCUGCAAAAAUUGUAGGAUAGGUACUUACAGAACAGUAAUCGCAAAGAAAUUAUCAUGUACUUUACUAGCGUUUGUCUUCUUGUCUACUUGGGUAUUUUUUUAGUUAUGUAAUAGUGGUUUUCGGGCUAGCUUGCGCGGACCUCGACUAUUCUACCUUAUACCUGCAUCCUCCACCAAAAGAGUUACUCGAAAACUCUGCUCAACAAGGCUUAGGCAGGAGGGAAGCAAUUAGCUGACUUUUUUGCCUAUGUUGGGAUGUGAACCCUUGUCUCCUAUCAUUCCAACUUUAUCAACCUCUAUGACACACCCUUGGAUGCAGGUCGGGAGUGUUUUUGAGUGGACGUCUGACCAUUUCCUGCUCUUGCAAGAAUGUCAUCCCCUCUAAGGAAGGCCUUAGGCAGUAAUUUGAUUGGUUAUUUCUAUUUUUAUUUUGAAGAUUACCAUUGUCAGUAGGCCCGUGUAAUUUACUUAUGCAAUCAACUUAGUUUUAGGAUAAGAAAGUGUUGUAUCUAAGAGUUGGGGAAUUUUUCAUGAUAGAAAGGAAGUCGCUUNNNNNNNNNNNNNNNNNNNNNNNNNNNNNNNNNNNNNNNNNNNNNNNNNNNNNNNNNNNNNNNNNNNNNNNNNNNNNNNNNNNNNNNNNNNNNNNNNNNNNNNNNNNNNNNNNNNNNNNNNNNNNNNNNNNNNNNNNNNNNNNNNNNNNNNNNNNNNNNNNNNNNNNNNNNNNNNNNNNNNNNNNNNNNNNNNNNNNNNNNNNNNNNNNNNNNNNNNNNNNNNNNNNNNNNNNNNNNNNNNNNNNNNNNNNNNNNNNNNNNNNNNNNNNNNNNNNNNNNNNNNNNNNNNNNNNNNNNNNNNNNNNNNNNNNNNNNNNNNNNNNNNNNNNNNNNNNNNNNNNNNNNNNNNNNNNNNNNNNNNNNNNNNNNNNNNNNNNNNNNNNNNNNNNNNNNNNNNNNNNNNNNNNNNNNNNNNNNNNNNNNNNNNNNNNNNNNNNNNNNNNNNNNNNNNNNNNNNNNNNNNNNNNNNNNNNNNNNNNNNNNNNNNNNNNNNNNNNNNNNNNNNNNNNNNNNNNNNNNNNNNNNNNNNNNNNNNNNNNNNNNNNNNNNNNNNNNNNNNNNNNNNNNNNNNNNNNNNNNNNNNNNNNNNNNNNNNNNNNNNNNNNNNNNNNNNNNNNNNNNNNNNAAAAGAGCAAUAUCUAAAACCUUGCUUAUGCCUGUUUAAGUUUGACCUUAUUUCUUUUGGACAGGGAUUGUGGAAUUAUUGAACUCAAAAGAUCCUGUCAAUUCUUCUCUUUUACAAUAUCUGACUGGUAUGACGUAUGAACGGAGUAUUUAGUACUAUGGUGAAGUCUUAAUCAUUCUCUUCCUUCCACUCCUAAAAAUCGACGGAUUCUCUUUAAUUGUUCCUACUUCUAUGGAAGCAAAAGCAUAAUUAAGAAGAAUAUGUCCUUCCUCUAGGCGAAAGUUUCCACUCAUCUUCCCUCCCUUCUUUCCCACAGUGUAGGCUACAGAGUACUAACUGUGAACUAAGGUUUAUUUUUAUUGCUGUUCAUUUUGCUUGCUAUGUAAUGGAUGUUAGAUUCGUAUUUUCUGCUUAUGGACAUCAUUAAACAGCUUUUUCAUGCAAAAAACCUGAUGACAGGUAUGUCAUUGACUCGGGGUAUGUGAAGCAACGGCAAUAUAACCCAUCAACUGGCAUGUACUCUUUGGAGGUUGUUCAGAUUAGCAAGUAAGUUAACAUGUGUAACCUUUCUCUCUUUAUUUUUGACCUGGUUUUGGGUGCUUGAGAAAGGACUUCUGUUUGAGGUGUUAAGUUGCAUUAACAGUCGGAAAAUCUAGCUUUUUGAUAAUGAGAAGGCAUUCGUGGGAAAAGAUUGUUCCUCUUAGUAUUGUUCCAGUCUUUCCCCUUAGUGUGUUGGUCCAGUAGUUCAAGGGUUGCUUGGAGGAAUUUGGAAUUAAUACCAUCUUUACCCUGGUAUGCGUUUAGCCACCAGACAGUUUUUGGAUACCUAAUUGACUACUUUGUUCUGUCGGCAGAUGAAAAGUAUAUGGACAGAAAAACUCAGUCUCUGAUCUUUACUUAGUGUUCUAUUCUUUGUUUUGUCUAAUAUUUGUUGAUAUAGAUACAGGAUUAUUUCUACUUCAGUAAAGUAUAUGACUUCUAUUCCUUUUAAAUUUGUUGAUAUAAAGUAUAGGGUCAUUUCUACUUCAGUAAAGUAUAUGUUUGAGCUUUCCACCUAUGAGUGACUGCAGGGUGCAGGCAAAGCAGCGUGCAGGACGUGCUGGAAGGACACGUCCUGGAAAGUGUUAUCGUUUAUAUCCCUCUAUGGUUUACCAUGAUGAUUUUUUGGAUGCCACCGUUCCUGAAAUACAAAGGUCCUCAUUGGCUGGAACUGUACUUUAUUUGAAGUCGUUAGAUCUCGCCGAUAUGGAUAUUCUCAAAUUUGAUUUUCUCGACUCUCCUUCCAGUAAGCAUCAGUUUCUCUUACCUUAUUCUUUGGUCUUAUGCUCCAAGUCUCCUCUGCUUUUGUAAAUGUUUACCUGUUCAAUUGUUCAUUGUUUUGUUGCUUUCGUUGCAGUCGAGUCUUUAGAGGAUGCCUUGAAGCAAUUAUAUUUAGUCGAUGCAAUUGAUGAAAAUGGUUCAAUCACAAGCCUUGGACGAAAGAUGGCUGGUAAUAGUUCAUCUCUAUUGUUUUAUAUUCUAUGUUAGACAGACUAGAGGUCCCCUUUAAGCCGUCCCACCUCAAAGAAAAAAAAACUCAAAACUUUGCUAUGAAAGGACGAGACAUCAAUUUUCUUGUGCAUUUGGCUUCUUCCCUUGAGAAACUAUGGAGGGAGUUCAUAAACCACACUACAGUUCUCCUGCAAUCCAUAAUUCUGGAGAUCAUAAAGUAGUUCAUUCUGGAACAGAACUACAGGAGAUCUAACUUUUCAAUUUUGUGCAGAGCUUCCACUGGAACCUUCUCUUUCCAGGACCUUACUAGAGGCAAAUGAGUUGGAUUGCUUGUCCCAAGCAUUGACAGUUGUUUCCAUGUUGUCUGCUGAGACCACGCUGCUUCCUGCCCCAAGGUAUAUAGAAUUGUCCAGAAUUCUUGCUUGUAUUCAUUCAUGGUAGCAUUGAUGUCUGUAAAAUCCUAUUGUUUUCUGUGCAAGUGAGCUUGAUUUUCGUACCAAGAAAAAUCUAAUAUACUCUUCCGUAGCAAAGAAAUUGAACCUUUCUGCAGCAUUAAAGCAUCUGAACAUCUGGUGGUGAUUUCGAUGCAAAAUUAUGCAUACUAUCUUUGUGAAAAAUAAAAUAUCACAUGUAAAGAAAGUUUCUUGAUAAAGAAGUAGGAUGAUUUAGAGCUGCAAACAUGAACCUGAGAUCUAGAAUGGUUGCUUUAUUCCAGAUUUAGUGUUUUUAUGGUAAAAAACCUCAUAGAGAUUUUCGAACAUGAAGCUUGUGAACUGAAAAUAGGAAGUGAAGGAUAAGGUUACGGUGAGAAGAGCAGCUUGAUUCUUCAGAGUCUAAGUGUCAACUAAUAUCAGCAUCUUCUCCUUCUAAGACACUGUCAGAAAGAUUAUAUUGCUACAGUAUCUUUUGUAUCAAAAGAUUGUCAAAGUCAUGAUAUAAGAAAUAUGUGACUCUUAAUUAGGACUAUUCUAUUUCUCAUAAUAGGGUAACCAAAGUGGUGUGUUAUCAGUUUUCUAUACAGAUAUAAACAUUCCACAUGUCGAAGCCUUACAUUGACUUGAUAAAGAAGGCAAGAUGUUUUGGUCUUCUUCUUGUUGUUUUUCCAUCUUGAAGCAUUGUCAAUUUUAUGUUCUUCUUUGGCAUUCUUUUUGUCCCUCUGUACUUAAGCCGGCAAUACCUCAAAGCUGACUACUAAUUUGUUAACUUGCAGUAAGAUCUCUGAGAAGAAGAGGAAGCACACUCCUUCGAACCUUCCUGAUGGUGCUGGCUUGGGUGAUCACAUCCAGCUACUCCAAAUUUAUGAGCAAUGGUAUCAGACUGACUACAACAUAGACUGGUGUAAAGAGAACAACUUACAGGUAUUUUACUGUACUUCCAUGGAGCACCAUGAAGCACCAUUGAAAUACAUUUUUACAGUACAAUUGGUUUUGUUAUUCGAGUAUGAUAAUCCUUUUUUUUACUUUUUAUGCCAUUGGACAUAAGUGGAAUAACAUACUAUUCAUUUUGGAUCUUGUUAAUUGUAGGUCCACGGGAUGGUGUUCGUGAGAGAUGUCAGGAAACAGUUAUCUCAAAUAAUGCAAAAAAUUGCUAAAGGUAAUGGUUUCCUUUUGCUAGAGUUUUCAAAAUACAAGCCAUUGAUAACUUAAGGUCUUCCCAUACUGUCAUGUUUGGGGUUGUAGAAUUUUAACUUGUCCCUUUACAUCAUAACCUGGCGUAUGUGCGCCUCCUUUGAGUUAGGGUUUAACUCUGGUUGGAGUACUGGCCCGCAUAAUAGUUCUGAAAAAAUCAAGGUCCUAAAUGUUACUUUAUGUUGUCUUCUUAAAAUUAGGCUCAUUAGAUGUCCAAACAAGCAAAAGACGGAGAGACAGCCCACAGGAGUAUAGAAUAUUGAGGAAAGCAUUGUGCAUUGGUUACGCAAAUCAGCUUGCUGAGCGGAGCAUUCGACAUAACGGGUAUCGGCCUCUUGGUUUCAAGUCUGAACUCGUACAGGUUAUUACUGUUUCACAGUGCUAGUUUGUCAUGUUUCUCCUUUGUGGAGGGCAUGGUCUACAGUUUCAUCGUUAGUUUGAAGAUGAACUCUAAACAUGAUGUAGGAGCUCUCCUUAGUUAUUAUAUUUGGGACUAGAUCUAUAUCUGCUGGCGUUAUAGUCUAGAUGUUCCAUUAUUAUUGUUUUAUACUUGAACUGGCAUAUUUCAAUUCAAAUCUUGAGUACCUUUUUUAUUUGUGCAGGUCCAUCCAUCUUCUGUGCUAAAAGCAGAUGAGGAUGGGAUGCUUCCAAACUAUGUCGUCUAUCAUGAAUUAAUAGUUACUUCACGCCCAUUUAUGCGUAAUGUAUGUGCAGUUGAGAUGCGAUGGGUUGCACCAAUCUUAGCGAAGCUUGAGAAACUAAAUGUCUUCAAACUGAGGUAAGUAACAUAUGCUUGACAUUUGAGGUGACUUUUAUUAUCCUCUCCGUAAUGUUUGAACUUUUCAUGCGCAUGAAAAAGUGGGGGAUCUAGUCAGCCUGAUAAGCAAAUUCAAGAAGUAACUUUAAACGUGGAAAAGAAAGAAAUUGCUACUAUUCAGUCACCUGAAGACCGUGACAGCAGGAUACAAGCUGCUCGGGAAAGAUUUCUAGCUCGGAAAGGUCAGAAGUAGCAUUACAAUGGUUGUUACUUGUUCAACAGAUUGAUCAGUUAUGUGCAUGGACUAUCUUUGCCAGAAAAUUGUUUGCUGCUUGGCUGGAAUGGUACAAUGUAACCCUUAAGCGCCAUGAUGGAGGGUGAAUUCACCCUAAGCUUCAUACAUGGAGGGUGCAAUUUUCCCACUUGACUUGUCUUAAGAAUGGUCAUAUGGAUUAUAUACCUUUCUCGGCCUUUUGACUAAGAUCAAGUGUAGUAUCUGUUUUUAUCUGUUUAAAGGCCAUCUGUCCACAUGAUAUUUACAAGACUGCUCAGACGGAUUCUUGAUCUCAAACUUCCACAAGAGGGAGCAGCUGUUGAAUGUAAAACAAUCAAAUUGGCGAGGAACAAGCAAGUUAUAGCAACCUGCGUGUUGUGGCGUGUUGCGGGUGAGUGAGUCUUGAUGGACAGAUAUAUGAUGAAAGACUCCUCAUCAACCAUCAAGAAUGGCAAAUUUCAUUAUGCCCAUGACUAUAUUUGCCAACUGAAACCUAAUAUAUAACAUCAGGUGUAUGUCACAGUUGUACAUUUUCGAAAUUCUCAAUUGACCCUUAAUUCAGAAUCUGGUUCUAUUUUUUAAUGGCCGAGAAAUCUUUGUUGGUUAGCUUGGGUACGGUUUGAGAUGGUGCAUAAUAACCUCGUCUUUUUACUCUUUUCCACUUAAAUAUCAAAUUUUAGUUUGAGGUUGUGUUUGAAUUGUGAUGUCUAUUUAACUUACAUAGCACAUGCGACGUUUUUACCACUCAACUAAAUCCCCAAGAGCCAGAAGAUGUUUCUAUUUCAGCCAAAUUAUUCUUUUUGUUUGGAUGUUAUAAUUAUACAAGAUGCUGCUCGCCCGUGCUAGCACAAGCCCAGUAAUUUGUGUUAUGGAGUAUUUAUUAAUUUGAGAAAUGUAUAUUUUUAGCCGUAGGCGACAAUUUUUUUUACAUGUGUAUUAUAUACAUAUUUUAUAUUCUUUUUAGCUACUAAACAAAGGCGGAUUUAAUAAGGCCCGAGAGGGUGGUACGCCACUCACUCGCAAGCUUCAGUGAUACACUGCAUAUAGGGGUGUGUGUGUAUGUGUGUGUAUAUAUAUGUGUGUAAAGUGCCACAUGUAAUAACAAAUGAUACAAAGGUGCUAGUGAUACACUGCAUAUAGGGGUGUGUAUGUAUGUGUGUGUGUAUAUAUAUGUGUGUAAAGUGCCACAUGUAAUAACAAAUGAUACAAAGGUGCUAGUGGCAAAUGGUAGGAGAUUCCACUUUGGUUGUGGAGGAUCAAACCUCGCUGGCAAUAACUUUUGAACCUUUUGGCUUGCUCAACAUGUAAGCUUUCUUCCUCAAAAUGAGUUAGUUAAAUUUGUUGUUGUUUUGACAAUUUGAUGAUUGAGAUUUAUUUUUUAUAAUAUUUGAGAGUUAUGUUUUAAAUUUGAGCUCAUUUGGAGUAGAUUUGAGCAUUCAAUCGUAUAUUCGAUUGUUGAAAUUCGAAGAACAAGUUUAUGUUUCAGAACUUAAGAUUAAAAUUUUUGAAGUUGCAUUUGAAAGAUAGAAGAACUUCAGAUUUGAUUUCUGAAGUCGCAUUGAAGAGAUUUGAACUACUUUAGAUCCGAACGGGUACACUUUACAAAAUUUUAUGCAAUGCAUGUAUAACUUCAAUGGUGUCCCCAAAAGUGGGUACAUAUGAAAAUGCCCUUUUUUGUGUCUCUUAUUAGUUAAGUAUUUGCUUUUUUUUUCCGCACAAAGUUAAAAUAAUAUUUUAUUUAACAAAUCUUCACUCUAUCAUAACUAUAGUACUAUAUUUUUCCGUUCAGUCGAUAUAUAAUAUACAAAAAAUACAAGUAACUCGAAACAAAGUUCAAAGUUGCUCAAACCGACAAAAUAUUUACUCUAUCUCAAUGUAUAAAUAGCGACACAUGGACGUCUAAAGCUAUUUGGCACCCAGAAGCUCCAAAUCCUGGACCUGCCUUUGCUAGUAAAUGCAAUUAGUUUCGGCUGACCAGACAAUAUUGUAUUAAUUUAUUUUAGGGAGUAUUACUUUUAUAACGACCCGACCGGUCGUUUUGAGUAUUCGCAUUCAGUUCGGUGGUUUGAGGUCAUGAGUAACUUCAUAUGAUGUAUAAUGACUUGUGUAUAUGGUCGGUUUUGGUUUUCGAGUUGUUCGGGAGUGAUUCAGAUGAAUGAUUCUCAACUAGAAAGCUUUGAGUUGGAAGAGUUGACCAAGUUUGACUUUGCAUAUUUGACCUAAGAUCGGAGUUUUGAUAGUUCCAUUAGGCCCGGAUGGUGAUUUUGGACUUGGGAGUGUGCCCGAAUUUGCAUUUGGAGGCUUCUACGAGGUUUUGGCCAUACUUGGCGAAAGUUGGUAAUUUGAAGGUUUGGAAGGUUCAUGAGUUUGAUCGGGAGUUAACUUUUAUGAUAUUAGUUUUGGAUUGUUGUUCCGGGAGUUGGAAUAGGGUUGUUAUAUCAUUUGGAACUUGUGGAACUUGUGUGCAAAAAUUGAGGUCAUUUCGAGUUGAGUUGAUAUAGUUCGGCACGAGUUUUGGAAGUUGAAUGUUCAAAGUUCAUUAAGUUUGAUUUGAGGUGUGAUUCGUGAUUUUGAUGUUAUUAUGUAUGAUUUGAGGCUUCGAAUAGGUUCGUGUUAUAUUUUGGGACUUGGUGGCGUGUUCGGAUGGGGUCACGAGGGGUUCGGGUGAGUUUCGAAUUGAUUUCGGACCCUUUUUCCUUAUGCUUGGCAUAACUGGUUUUCUGUUGGUUCUGGUGUCUCAGGCCUUCUUCGCGAUCGCGAAAGUAAGGACGCGAUCGCGUAGAGUUUUGGGGAGCUACUGGUUGUUUAUUCAUCGUGUUUGCAAGAGGAGAAACGCGUUCUCAAAGGGCUGAGAGGUUUGUUCAUCGCGUUCGCAGGUGUUGGUUCGCGAUCGCGAUUCAGCUGGGAGCUAUGGAUUUCUGUCUUCGCGUUCGCGAGGUCGUAGUCGCGUUCGCGUAGUUGUGGUGUCUGUGUUCAUCGCGUUCGCGAGGGUAGUGCCGCGAACGCGAAGGGUAUUUUUUGGCUUAUGUGCAUCGCGAUCGCGAGGGUACAACCGCGAUUGCGUAGAGUACCACUGGGCUGUGCAUCGCGAUCGCGAGGGUACAACUGCGAUCGCGUAGAGUACCACCGAGCAGUGCAUAUAAGUACUCUAUUUCGGACCUUGAGCACAUUUUAUCAUAUUUUGAGUUAUGGAGCUCGAAUUUGGGCGAUUUUGGAAGAGUUUUUCACCAUAUGGAUUGGGGUAAGUAUUUUUGACUCGGAUUUGAUUAUAUUACAUGAUUCCACUUUCGAUUUUGGCAUUUAAUUGGUGAAUUUAAAAGAAAAAUUGGGUUUUUUUGUCUAAUCUUUCCUAAAGUGAAUAAUUGGGUUUUGAACAUUGAUUCAGAGUCAGAUUUGAGUAAAAUUAGUAUGGUUGGACUAGUAUUCGAAUGAGUUGUCGGAAUUUUUAAGUUUUGUCGAAUUUCGGGGUAUGGGCGCGGGUUGACCUUUUGGUUGACUUUAAGUAUUUGAUUAAAGAUUAGACCUUUAUCGUUUGUGUUUGCUUCUUAUGGUAUUAUUUGAUGAUUUUGAGUUGCUUUUGGCUAGUUUCGAGCCGUUCGAAGGUCUAUUUGUGCAGGAUGGCGCUUCUAGUGUAUUGAUUUGGCUUGUUUGAGGUAAGUAUCUAGCCUAACUUUAUUGAAAAGUUUUUUCCUACUAAUUGAUACUAUUUGCUACAUGCGGAAUGAUGCAUAUGCACAGUGACAAACGUAUAUGCAUGUGCCAGGUUAUCCAUGCUCGGGCUAGAUUAUACUAUUCUUUGUGCAUUGUUGGACUAUAUGAAUUUCUUUCCUCGUAUUUUAUUUGACUUCUAUGAUAAUAUGAAUAUGAAUUUCAAUGUUAGAAACCAGGAUCCAGCUACGACUAUUAUUCUUGAAAUAUUUGGAUUCCAUACUUGAGUUGAAGACCGCUUUUGAGAUUUGUUGAGAUACUUGAAUGAUAAGGUUCUUGAGGUUUAUUGAAUUGUUAUUGGCUUGAGAGCUGUGAUUGAUGUUCAUUUAGGGUAUUUGAUUAACCACUCUUCUUGAUAUUAUUCAUACUUCCUACGGUGCUUUGUUAUUGAUAUACAUGUGCUUAGUGAGAAAGAGUAUAAAGUACGAAGGGUGAUGACGUGCCAUUACAUAUAUAUCAUCCGUGCCAUUUCAUAUACAUCAUUACACACGAAUGGGUGAUGCCGUGCCAUUUCAUAUACAUUAUCAUGUGAGGAAGAGAGUAAAAUACGAAGGGUGAUACCGCGCCAUUGUAUUUACAUUAUCACGUGAGGACAAGAGUAAAAGUACGAAGGGUGAUGCUGUGCCAUUAUUUUUUUUAUAUUAUCAUGUGUUCAUGGCACGAAGGGUAUUUCCGUGCAGGAGAGGACGAGAGACAUGCAUUAUAUUGUGAUGUGUUUUGUGGCUUCGAGCCAAGUGGGGGAGCCUACUAUCAACUAUCGGAUUGCAUGAUCAUGCGUUAUAUUAGUUCUUGGAUGAGGAUGUGCUUGCGGAUAGGUAUGAUUUGAUAAAGGUUUAGUAUGGGUUGAAUUAGAGCAAGGUGUAUGACUAUCGAAAGGGUUUUGAUGAGUUCGAGACUCAUAUGUGGUAUUUAAGGAUUUUUCAGAUUUGUGUAUGGCUAGAACUUGAGAUUUGUAUUAGAUGGUGUCUAGACUUGCAUUACUUCUAUAUCAUUAUUGACUUUACAUGACAGUACUAGAGAGAUACAAGAAACAACUUCGGAUUCGCAGAAGGUUCCUUCAGAGCGAGCAUUUCAGAUUGAGUUACUUUUGGGUUUGGCAGUCUGCGCGACUCAGUUGAGUGAGAGGAAAACAGUUCUGAUGACUUGAUUAUGUGUUAAUAGGUUUCGAAGAAUUCACGAUGGUUGUGGCUACGGUUCGGAAUUGAUGUCUUCUACGGGUAUAGAAUGUGUGAUGCGUGCGGCAAUGUCCUCCCGGAUUGGGUUAAAUGGAAAGUUCUCGGUUGAUGAGGUGUUCAUCAUGUUUGUGAUUUAGAGUUGAUUAUGAGACUUUUUGUAAUUUUCACGAGUUAGCAUGGCAGUGGCGGUACGCCGCGUGGGAUUGGAAGUUUUGAGCACAAGGUUGCAAUAUAAUUUAGAAGGGAAGAUCAUGGGUUCUUGAUGGCACAAAUAAUUUCAGAUGUUUAAGAAAAUGCUGGCACUAUUUGAUGUCUCAUGAGAAGAGUGAUCAUUUUAGAAGGCGCAUUGUGUUUUUACUUGCGGAUGCUUGGCUAGUGUUUUGAUGAUCGCCUGGUUUUGGGUUGCUGAGGUUCAGGUUUUGCUACGUGGCACAAGAGAUCUAUAUGAGCAUUUUUUGUAUGAUGAAGGAGUAUGAGUGAUGUAUCAACCAUUUGAGCAGUAGAGUUGGGAUCGGAUAUGGAGAUUUCGUUAUUCUUGAGGUUUAAAGGCUGGAUGUUCUCACGGGCAGACUAUUCUUUAGUUACAGACUGUGAAGAUAUGCUAAGAAUUAGAUUGCUGAUGGCAUAUGUUAUGGAUAGGUUGCUAUAGACUUUUGGAAGGUUAUAUACCUGUUUGGGAAUAAUCGAAAUUGGUUCGAGGGAUAUUUGUGAGCCUAAUGAGAAUGUGUUGUUAUAGUACCUCUAUAACUUUAAUUAAUCAAACAAUUAACUUUCAUAAUUUAAUAGACGAGUAUUAUAAUUAUUAGGAUAAUUUAAAGCUAGCCUACAAUAAUUAAUUAAUAAUACAUUUGUAAUUAUAUGUUAUUGGGAUUAAAUUAGUUUAAUUAAUUUAAUUAUAAAAGGGGGUUAAAACUUAAAAUAGGCUACAAUUGCAAUUGAUUGAUUUAAUUAAAGUGGCCAUGAUUUAGAUUCCCAUUCCAGCCUAAUACCCAAUUAAUUGUCCCACAAAUACUGACCCAAUAACCCUGACCUGGUUCAACAGCCCACUACCCGUCCUACUUGGCAAUCCUCGCCACUCAUUCUCCACCAAUAAUAUGAUGCCACGUCACCUCCUUAAAUCGCUCACAUAAUAAACAAAUUCCAUCUGGACCGUUGAUCAAAUUCAUCAACGGUCCAAAAUUAUUUGCAAAUCCUCUUUAAUGUUAAAUCCCCCAACGCAUUUAUCUCUACCGUUGGAUCAAAAUGAUCCAUGGGCCCCUGAUUUAUCCCCACUAAAUAUUUUCUUCCCUUUUUUAUCUCCAAAAAUCUGGAGACGUUGAUCUAAAUGAUCCAGCGGCUCCCAUACUAUCUCCCAUUUUUAACUAAGCCCACCCCCAAACCCUAGAGACAUUUCGUCUCAUCCACGGCCUUUAUUUCCUCUUCUUAUCUCUUUUCUCUCAUUCUCAACCCACCCUGCCAUUACUAAACCUUGCACAAGUGCAAGGUCACUGAAGAUGAUCAAGGCUCAUCAUUUCCCUCACAUGUUAGCCGCAAAUCCUGUUGAGUAUUCCUUUUUCGCUCACCCAAUUUUGAAUUUCAAGCCCCGAAACCUUACACCAAAAUGUAAAAGAGUAAGAAUCUCAUUUUCUUCCUCUGCUUGUUCAAUCGUCACAUGCAGCCAUGGAUUCAUUAGAAUCUUGACCGCAUCAUGAUGGUCGGUGGUCCAGAGGUCAAACGCAAUGACCUCUAGAUAUUGGCUUUGCCCGGCGGUCCGAUUGGUUUCAACGGCUAGUUCACUCAUUGUUUUAGGGAGGUAAAAAUCUUUACCCCUUUUCCCUUCCUGAUUUCGUCACUUCUCAGUCAUCAGUGCUCAUCAUCAUCUCACAGAUUUUCAAAAUUUGAGUGAAAUCCUAAGUCUCAAUUGUAGCUAUAAAUAGAGGGUUUUAAUGCCCUCACCAAACACACGAACUACCAUAGGAAGCCUAGUAAAUGCUCUCUUCUUAAAUACUUAAAAAACUUUCUCUAAUCUCCUUUCUUUAUUUUCAAUUUUUGCUCGAGUGCAACUACUGAGAAUUGAUUGUGAACUUUAGUUCCUAAACGGCUAAGAAUGGUUACUUGGUUUGUUGCCUCGAAGAAUGUCAGUGGACCACUGAUCUCCCUUUAAUUAUUCAUUCAUUUCAUAUAUUAUCAUGUUGUCUCGUUUGUCUGGUGUUUUUUGUUAAUUGCUUGCCUAUGCUUCAUCGUGAUACUCAUCAGCCAAGCAUGAAACUUUCAAUUGUGUUCUGCUGCUUGUGUUAUUUUUCACUUAAUCAACUGAUACUCCCUGCUAAUAGUUAUGUUUAUCCCCUAUGUUGUUUAAAUCAGUAUUUUCUGGUGAUCAUUGAAUUUUGUUUCUCAUACCUAUAUUAUCAUGGUAUAUUGCUUAACUAAUUGAAUGAUUUUCAUGCUUAUAUUAUUGUGUUGUGUUGUCUAAUUGAGUGAUCCUUGUUGACAGUCAUCACCAUGUUAAUCUGCUUAACUAAUUGAAUGCCCCUCACUGAUAGUCAUGCCUAUGUUAUCAUGUUGAUCUGCUUAGUUAAUCAAAUAGGUCCAGUUGACAGUCAUGCUUAUUGUACCCCAUUGUUCUAUUCAGAAUGAUCUAUGUUACAAGACAUGUUUGUUUAUCAUGAUAACUUGAAUAUGACAAACUUGUCUACCUAGCUUGGCAUGUUUAUACUUUAGAGCUUAAUAUGUGACCCGGUUUGCUUGAAUAAACAAAAAAAUGCUGAUUUACAAUUCCAUGUCUACCUAGCUUGACAGUCAUGCUUAUUGUACCCCAUUGUUCUAUUCAGAAUGAUCUAUGUUACAAGACAUGUUUGUUUAUCAUGAUAACUUGAAUAUGACAAACUUGUCUACCUAGCUUGGCAUGUUUAUACUUUAGAGCUUAAUAUGUGACCCGGUUUGCUUGAAUAAACAAAAAAAUGCUGAUUUACAAUUCCAUGUCUAUUUUGCCUUGUUUAAUUGUAACAAGUAUUCUUGUCAUCUUAUGACCAUUUGAUAUUUGAGGACACUGUCCAUAAGAUCUUUAUGUAAUGUGGUUAAGCACUAUUGGUCUUGGUAGUUUGAAUAAGUAUUAUUCAUUCUCAAUGUGCACUAUCAUGUUUAGAUGCCAUGCCUACAUAAUUGACCCUCCUAUUCAUGCUUAAUGUCCCAAUUCUGAGUAAGGUGAUCAGCCUGGGUUGUUAAGCAUGUAGUGAGAUCUACACCUAUGUGUUUGUUUGUUGUUGAAGGAGUGUCCUAAGGAUGUUCUGGGCCUUAAUAACUUACUUUGAUAAUCUAAACUUGCUUCAAAGGAACCCUGUCUGAUUAAAUCCUUAUGAACCAUUAGACCUUUGAUGAGAUUCAGUAAAUAAGUGGGUGCAUUUGUCUUUUGUUCACUGUUGCCUUAAACCACCUGGAGAAGCAUUCAUGAAGUUGAAGUUGUUAUUAGCACAACAAGCUUGCUCUAUAGGGGCAUAUAGUUGAUCACUUGUGCUUUGUAACCCGUUAUUGAUUCUGUAUGUUUACCGCAGUGAUACCUAAGAAUAUUCUGUAGAUGUUGUGCCAUAUGGAAUGGUUCAGAAUCAACCUCUAAGCUCUUGAAACUGUUAAAAACUUUUGAGAACUUAAAUGUGGUAAUUUAUACUUGUAUCAUGUGUUCUGACUUCUGAUAAUAAUCACUGUUUAAAACUCAAGCAUGUGCUACUCCUUGACUAUUUAGGGCAUUAUACUCAAGUGAUUGCUUCAAUUCCUAGAAUGAUUGUCUGUUCUUAAAAUUAUUGGUGCCCCUAUAUGAUUGAGUUUUCUUGAAAUAUGUCACGCCUAGAUGGAUUAAGAUAUCAUAUGGAACCUUAUGUGCUUCUGCUAGUUUGUUUCAUAUUGAUUGCGUGAGACUGCCUGGGCACCUGUUUGGUUGAAUGCUAAGAUAGGAUUUCUUAUGUGCCUAAACCUCUAUAGAAGAAUGAGGUUCAAUGCUUAAGGGUGUUUGGUGUGGGCUUGACUUUACUGUUAAGGAACCCCUCCCUGACACAAGCAUUGCUCGGGGUCCAAGAGACCCUCGUGAAAUCUGGGUCCAUAGGGGAUCCUUAUAAGUGUGGUUCACUCUAAGCCCAUAAUCAUUGGCCUUAAUUAAUCUUCAGGGGAUUAUCAUAAUUAAAAUUUGGCAUAAUCUGUUCACUCUACAUCAUAUUUAUGCUCAUUUUUAUUCUUUUAUGAUUCUGCCUUUAUUUUUUCUAUGCACAAAUGCUAAUUGAUUCUUUCUCUUUUUCUUUGCAUGAAUACUGGACCUGCUGAGUUCAUUGAAAACCCAUACCCAAAUUCAAUGAACUGGGUUGCCUCCUUUGUCAUCCGUUGAAGCCUGCUGCAGUUUUGAGCUUAGUUCGGCCUGACUAAUUGUCAGUCCAGCACAAGAGUCCAGCCACUUUUCCUUAUAUGAAAUUAUUAUUAUUACUAUUGUCCCGUUCUUUGUAUAUGUCCUUGUGGAACUGACAUUGGUAUUGAAUAUUUGUUUUGUCUUGAUUAUUUAGGAAAGACUUUAGGUAGAUCAAACCUAAUAAGGUAAAAGGUAACUUUCACCGAAAAGAUUACUCGCUUUAAUAAUGUCAACAUUUUUUUGGAAUCUGACUGCUUUUAAACUAAUUGUUUAGAAACUAAUGUUUCUUCUUUUGCAUACCCUUUUUCAAAUGAGUUUCGUUUGUUAUUAGCAUUGAUAGAAUUUGAAUGAGUUUAAACUGAAACAAUCUUUUUGGAAAGAAUUUUCAAACGGAUAACUUAGGUGUCACGAUCCAAAAUUUACCUAGUCGUGAUGACACCUAACUCAAUCCGUCGGGUAAGUCAAUUAACAACUAUCUAAUUUAGAUGAGAUUUAUUAAGAAAAGAAAGGAUAAUAAAACUAUUUUUAUACAAGAAUUUUUAAGGACUGGUAGUACAAAUCAUGAGCUUCUAAGAUUAGAAGUUAUAAAGCUGGUAUGAAAUAAGUACAUGUACAUAAAUAGAUUUUUAUAAAUUUAAGGCUACCAUGAACAAGAGGCAGCUACUAACAGAACGCAGGUACGUCUUCAAAUUGAUCAUAGCAACAUCAACAUCUAAUAUUUGCACGCAAGGUGCAGAAGUGUAGUAUGAGUACAAUCGACCCCAUGUACUAAAUAAGUAACAAACCUAACUUUAGGUUGAAAGUAGUGACGAGCUGGAAUACAGGUCAAAGUCCAACACUGAUAGCCAACAACGGCUCAUAACAAUAUAAUAAAAGUGGUGCAGGAAAUAACUCAGAAAUAAGAUGUUCAGCUCGUUCACAGUUUCAGAAAAUAGACAUGUUUUUCAGGUAUAACAGUAAAAACUCAAAUCUUUUACCGAAAAUACCAAAAUAUGAGUAAGUUUAUAAAAUUGUGAUUUUCCUUCCAAAACUUUUCAACAGGUAAAUGUUUCAAUAUCAAAUGGCAUGAGGAAAAGUAUAUCUCUAUGCCUGCAUGUCAAUGUGUAUGAGAAGUCAUGAAUGAAAUGAUACCGUGCAACAUGAGGAAAAAUGCGUCUCUAUGCUUGUAUGUCAAGUGUGCAUGUCAAUGCAGUACAACAUAGUGAACAACCAUAUGCAUACUCUCAAAGUAUUAAUCCACUUAGUCCUCCCAAUCACUCGGCACUCUCACUCACACUCAAUAGGUACAUGCGCACACUGGGGGUGUGUGCAGACUCCGGAGGGGCUCCUUCAGCUCAGCGCUAUAAUCUGCACGGACAACUCAUGUGCUACACGGACAACUCACGUGCUAUAGUAUCAAUAUCUGGAUCCGCACGGACAACUCACGUGCCAUAGUAUAAAUAUCUGGAUCUGCACGAACAACUCAUGUGCUGCACGGACAACUCACAUGCCAUAGUGUCAAUAACUUCACAAUCAGGCCCUCGGCCUCACUCAGUUAUCAAUCUCUCCAGUCUCUCGGGCCCACAAUGCCAUGAAACUAGCCCAACAAUGAUGAUAUGAUGUGUUAAUAUAUAGCAACAGAGACUGAGAUAUGAUAUGAAAUGAAUGAAUAUGACUGAGUAUAUAAUUAUAAUUUAAACAUAUAAUUCGACAUGAGAAAUGACCUUAGUGGGUCCACAAUAAUACCAGCAUUUGCCUAAGCAUAAUCUCUAACACGAGUCACAACUCAGUUUCUCUAACACAUAAAAAUACAUGAAAAAAUACAAGUUAAUUGACUAUACAGCUCUACGGAAUCAACUGAGUCUCAAUUCUACGGUGCACACCCACACGCCCGUCAUCUAGCAUGUGCGUCACCUCCAAACAAUUCACAUAAUACGUAUAAUCAAGGUUCAUAUCCUCAGCUCCAAGUUUAGAAGAGUUACUUACCUCGAACAAGCCGAGUCCAAUAUCGAGCAAGCUAAACAAUGCUCCAGAAAUUCCAUUCCGCGCUUAUCAACUUCCGAAUGGCUCGAAUCUAGUCACAAUUAAUUCGAUUCAGUCAACACAAAUUGUACGUGACAGCUUGGUAUCAGAGCGUUAGUUUCACUUAGGUCUCACGAGUCAUGAGCAAGUCUAGCAGAGUCUUGCGGAUCGGUACGGAGACGUCUGUACUUAUCUUCGAGAGGCUACAGGGCUGUUAGGAGUACUUCCCUUCUUGAUUUCCUCAUCGUGCGGUUUGAUUUCAUUGAGGCUUGUGCCUUUAUUUCCUUCCUACUCAAUCUUAUACGACGCGAAGCGCUGUUAUGAAUUGGGCAUCGAGGAGUUGUAGUGGUACUGCAGACGUGGUGCAUGAUGUUUUUCUCUGCGUGUUCGGGCAGGCUAUUGUCGUCUCCUUGCAGAAGGAUGUUCUUUUGAUCCAGCUCAGUAUCUGUAUUUUCUAUGAUUUCGAGACUGUGCACGGAUUACUAUGAUGUCUAUGAGUGGUUAUCGCAUAAUGUUGGUGUAAUUGGUAAUGUGUCGAGGCAGAGAAUGACUCGAAAGGAGGAUUUCUCAGUGCAUGAUUUAGAGGUUCAACAUUUAAUUCCAGCAAAGGAAAGGCAAUCAGACUAUGGAUAUUCAGGUUUUGGUCGAUGGAGUAACGAGACUUGGUAUUUUCGAGCGUGGUGGAAUUUUCAUUGUGAUGCGGUAUCAUCAUCCUUGUUUAAAUGCAUUAUGGUUCGUCGGUGUUAUGGUCUCCUUUGAGUUUGCCUUCGGGGCAGAGUGUUGCGAAAUGGAGCUUGAGGGGCGGUUAUCAGAGAUAGUGGUGUGCAGUGGUUCAGAAUCAAAUUAGUAUUUCUAAUGUUGAUGGCUCGAGAGAGAUGAUCUUCGAAGAGGCUUAGAGUCGGUAACAAUUUAUUGGUUCAGGUGCUACAGAGAUGGAUUUUGAUUUUGAUGCAACAUUUGGGCAGCAAAGUAUGAGGGAGGACAUGGCGGGAAGUGCUUCGCGGUAGUUGAAGUACCAGCAGGUCAAGUAUGAAAAGCAGAGAUUGAGAAUUUGCUUAAAGGAGAUGGUUUAACCGAAGUAAGAAUGGCAGAUUAGCAUAUGGAUUCUGUGGUAGGAUAGUCGCGUUCCUUGAGAAAGUGGAGAACGGUUUGGGAAUAGUGAUGGAAGGUGAUUUGGCCUACGGAUUUUAUUUGGAAUGGUGGUCAUUGUACGAAGAAAGAUUGAAUAUGGAAGAAAAGAGCUUUCUUGAAAUGAAAAGGGGUGUGAAGAUUUGAUUAUCGUUUUAGAUGCAAUAUGACUUGACUUCGUAAGGUAUUGUUUAACUUUCAGUUGAUGUCAAUAGGGAAGGAGCAGACUUAUACAGCUGGUGGGCGAGCAUGAGGUCAGGAGGAUUUAGUGAUUAUGUGGUAGUUGUACCCCGUGCAGCAUCGUUGGAAGAUGUCGGUAAGGAAUUCCACAUGUGGAUUAUCUCCUGUGAACAGGUUAGAUACUACUUGCUAGCCGGUAAGAGGCUGAAUAUGUGAUUGUGACUAAUGAUUCAGAAGGUUCAUGAAAAGUUUAACAAGAGAUUUUGAGAAAUUUGGCGAGUUAUCGGUGCAAGAUCAUGGUAAUUGAGAAGGAGAAAUCUUUGUGGGUUCUAGGUUUAUGUAAUUGUAGCUUAAAACUAAGUGGGGGAGCCCCACCGCCUACGAUUGGAUCGCGUGGUUGUCUGCUUGUGCAGUUUCUGAUUAUCGAUGCAUUGAUGGAUCAAUUAUGACUAAGAAAAAGAAAACAUCUGGGGUAAUUCAAGCAAAGAACUUGAUGAAUAUGUGCUAUAGUUCGCCUUAUCGAUUCAUGUGCAGGUUUUGGGAAGACUCAGAGUUUAUACUUCUUGCGGAUGUGAUUCAUCUGGUUGCUUCUUUGUGAGUGUUCAUGUGCUAACAGAGUGUUAGAGCUUGGUUAUAUUCAGAAUCAAGUCAGAGUGGGUGACUCUCAACAACGGACCUAGUGGGUUCAAGAAUUUAAAGUGCAGUGCCUAAAGGUUUCGGGUCCGUGGUGUGGUUAAGGAUCGAGUUUUCACAGUGGAUUACGAGCGGGGUUUGGAAUAUUCUAUGUUAUCAUCGGGUAUGCGGUGCAGUAUUGGGGGAAAGGAAGAAAUAGCUUCGGAUUCGCGGAUGGUCUUGCAGAAUGGGUGUACCAGUUGGAGAUGUUAUUGUGCACAUAAAGAGGGUAUGAGAUGGUUCAUGAGUAUUGAGACGAUGUGGUCUCGUGACACGGGUCACUCAGGACGAGUGCAGAUUGAGUUCGUUAUGUUGUAAAUAGAGCUAUUAUUUGUAAGAUAGGUCAAGAGUAAAUUGAAAGAAGUUGGGUCGGUUAGUAAUGGUUGAAUCAGCAUGAUUGUGGCAAAGAUCAGUUCCUUAAGCGUGUGAAGUUAUAAAUGUGGUUUGUGGUUGUACGCGCGGGCUUGACAACCACCACAACUUGAUUGAUUUGGGAGGUAUUUCAUUCAAAUGGCCUUGUGGUGUAAAUGGACUCCGGAGGACUCAUGGUGGUUCAGAUCAUGACUUGAGGUUUGUAUUUUCUGUGGUUUGGGAAUUCAGUUGCGUGUUGCAUUGGCUCUUCUGAAAUGAGCGGAGUGAAAGGUUUCUAGCCAAUGAAGUGUUUAUUCUGCUAGUAGUUCAGUGGUUAUGAUGGAUUCUUGUAUUCUCGCGUAGCGGCAUGAUAGGUGCAGUGAGCAGCAUGGGAAUUUGAAAGUUGAGGAUCAAGGUUGCGGUUCGGUGUCGACAAGAAUGUCACGAGUUCGGAUGAGCAAGGGUAAAUUCAGAUGUUCAGAGUAAGCUGGCAUUUUCUUUAGUGUCACCUGAGAACGGUGUCUUGUGUAAGAGGCUUUGUGUAUUGAAUUGCUUUACAGAUUAGUACGGUUGGUGGUAUGGAGGUGCAGGCUUUUCUACCUGGUACGGAAGUUCGUGUGAGAGUAUCCCAUGGGGAAAUCUAUAUAAGUGUGGCAUGUUAGUCACUUGAUUGUUAAAGAUUGAAAUCAAGCAUGGAGAUUAUCGUACCAUCGUUAAAUGUGAGAGUUCAUGCCUGGAAGGCGCUCUAUUCCUUUGGUUGUGAACUGUGGGAGUUGUUUCGGAUUGAGACGGUUUAAUUAUUCGCACAUGUGUUGAGGUCUCGUGUAGCUUGUGGUGUUAUAUGAGCAGGAUGACUCUUGAGAUGCAGGUCAUUUAUCGCGCCUUAGUUGUGCUUGGGUUUUGUGGCGUAUUGCGCUAUCUGUCUCCCUAGAGUUGUAUUUUUGCACUUAGCGUGCUUAUGGCCGAUAUUCGGUACUCCUUAGGUAGAAGCAUUAUGGCUUAAUGAGUAUGUCCUUGUUUAUUUUUAUGAGUGGAUCAGGUGGCACGCCGCCACGGGUACAUUAUUUGGAUCGGGUUGCACGCUGCAACGGUAUCAUGAUUGGAUCAGGUUGCACGCCGCAACCGUAUUAUGUUGAGUAUGGUUCCCUAUAUCUAUUCCUGCAUAUUUUGUUUCUCAUCCUUUGAGAAGGGUUCAUAACAUCUGUUCGACCAUUUUAUUCGUUACGUGGGUUGGGUAAUUCUUUUCCAAAAUUCGUUUCUCCUUAUGAGUCAUAUUCGAGUUGUAGCUUGCCGGCGCAUUGAUGGAGUCAUAUGGGAUCUGAGACAGUGUUUGAGAUGUCUUAUUACCUGAGCAGCUUGUACUGGGUGAGACGAGAUUAUUGGACCUGAAAUUUGUGCAAACAAAUUUAUACAAAGUACAUUAAAGGGAAAAUAUCGUCAUUCAGUUCAGAAUGAGGUAAUGGUUCUUGUCAGGAGGAGAGACUCCAUGAAUUAUUGAUUCGGCAGGUGGUUAUGAGUUUCUACACGUCUCUCUCGUCAUGGAAGUAUUGCGAGAGUUGGAACAGGAUUUAUAUACGUCAUGAGAUGUAUUGCGGGCAUUAGAUUUGUGAAGUUUCAGCUAUUGUGGUCGGAGGAUUUUAUUAUGGGCAUGUGAAUUAUGCGGGGCAUGGUGUGAAUUCAGAAAAAGGUGUACGAUCGUGUUUUGAUACGGUGUGUGGUGAUUGGUACGGAAUUCAUAUGUUAGAAUCAAGUCUUGUAGAGAAAUUUGGAGGUUGGAAUUUGGUUCUAGGGCCUAUUGACUAAAUAAAAGGGAGGACCUUCAGUCCGGCUCGAGCUAACGUGCCCAAUUGGGAUGUGGUGGCAUGGGUAGGUGCAUGAGGUGUUAAACAGUGAUUUUGGACAACUCCGUAGCAGUCCUUAGCACGUUCAAUGACGAACGUAUGUCUAACUGGGGGAGAAUGUUACGACCCGAUCGGUCGUUUUGAGCUCUAGCGUGUCAUUCGGAAGUUUAUGGCUUUGAGUAGCUUCACUUCAGGCAUAUUGACUUGUACGUGUGGCCGAAAUUGAAUUUCGGUAAAUUCAGGAUAGAUUUGGAAAGAAAAUUCUAAUUUCGGAAGCUUUAAGUUGGAAGAAUUGGCUAAGAUUUGACUUUUGAGUAAACGACCUCGGAAUCAGGAUUUGAAGGUUCCAAUAGGUUCGUAUGAUGAUUUCAGACUUGGGCGUAUGUUUGGAUUGAGUAUCGGAUCACCCGAGAGCAUUUCGACGCUUAUUAUGGAAGGUUGGCAUUUUGAAGGAUUAAGAAUUUCCUAAGUUUAAUUUGAAGUAGGCUUUGGUGUUAUCGAUGUCCGUUUGGGAUUCCGAGCUUUGGAAUGGGUUCGUAUUGUGAUUCAUGACUUGUACGCAAAGUUUGGCGUGCAACCCGAUCCAAAUAUAUAUAUCAAUAUUAAUACUGUUACGGCAUGCAAUCCGAUCCAUAUAUGUAAAUAUAAAUACUGUUGUGGUGUACAACCGGAUCCAUAUAUCAAUAUAUAUACCAUUACAGCAUGCAACCCAGUCCAAAUAUAUCAGUUUAUAUGAAAUUAUUCAACAACAACCAAGCAUGGAAAAGUGCACAAGAUAACACCCAGAAAACGAACACGCGGAAUUCAACUAGGAAUUAUAAACUCAAAUAAAGUAUAUAAGAUGGGCAACUCAGUACCCAAGAGUUAGUCUCCCAUAUAUAGUGACAAGCUUCCACAAAGCAUAAGCACAUAACCAAUCUAAUAGUCACUCAAUCCCACUAAGCAUAAAAGAGUAGGACAUGAAAUGAGUAAAGGUAUAUGGCAAGUAAAAAUAGGUAUCAAGUAGAGGCAAUUAAUAAGUGAGAUCAUAUAACAAGUAGGGGCAUGUAGCAAGUAAAGACAUAUAGUAAGUGAAGACAUGUAGUAAGUGAAGGCAUGUGGAAAGUAAAGGCAUAUGACAUGUAAAGUCUGGUAAUAGGUAAAGGCAAGUAAAAGCACGUCGCAAGCAAAUGCAUGAAAUAGGUAAGUACAUGUAACAAUAAUAAAUCAAGUAGAAAGCGUUGAUGUAAUGGUAACAAAUAGAGGGAAAUAGAUCUAUAGUAAUAGACCAAAUAAGAAACAUAGAGGUAAACCAAGUAAAAAAUAUAGACAUGAAAGUAACACUCAAUAUGGAAAACAUAAAUAUAAACCAAGGUAGAGUACAUGUAUGCAUCUACCAAACAAGUAACCAUAACAUAAGGUCCAACUCCCAUCCUCUCCGCACGAAAAAUAACCACGUGCAUGUCACGACCCAAUUCUACCAUAGGUCGUGAUGGCGCCCAACGCUACCGUUAGGUAAGCCAACAGUUAAAUCAACAUGCCUAUAAAUAAUUCAAGACGCAUCUUAAAACAAAUAAUGAAAUAAAUAAGUGGAAUCAUUUCAUUUUCAUAGUAAAAUACUGAUAUUAUCUUAAAUAUUAGAAUCCAGAUAUCAUAACAGAAUACACCCAAAACAAGAAUCUAAAUUCCUAAAACCUGGUGUCACAAGAGCAUGAGCAUCUACUAGAAUUUACAAUACUACUACAACAACUAUCUGGAAUAGAAAAUAGACAAAGUACAGUAAAUGAAUAGGAAGGGGACUCCAUGUGCUGCGGAUCGUAGUAUAUAGAGCAGCACACCACCAAAUCUCCUCAGCAACUGCGCCUACGCGGCGGUAUGACUACCAAACGUACUUGUCUCAGCACCUGCAUAAUUAAUGCAGAGGUAUAGUAUGAGUACGUAAACUAACGCGUACCUAGUAAGUAUCUAGUCUAACCUCGAAGAAGUAGUGACGAAGAGUCGAUAUAGACACUUACUAAUGGUCCAAUAAUCAAAAUAUGAUAAAUGUAGACAGGUAUCAAGCAUAACAUAUAAAAGCAACAAAAAUAGAUAUACGUGCCUAACACGAUCCUCAACAGAAGAGUAGAUACAAAUAUUUAAAUACCGAAUAUUACCUCGAAUGGGACAUGUAUAUGAUCAUUUACAAAUAAAAUGUCAAACCUUAAGUCAGGAAGACUCAUAGGUACACUGACUCUCUAUCGAAUAUCACGCACGAUUCUUCCAAGGUCGUUCGGCCCGAUCCAUAAAAUAGUGUACGUUGCCGAGGUCGUAUGGCCCAAUCUUUGGAUGCAUCUCAUAAUACUGCCGAGGUCGUACGGCCUGAUCCAUAACAAUACUGUUGAGGUGUUCAGCCCGAUCCCGUAUGAAUAGUGAGACUUUGAUGGGUCACUGGCCCAACUCACGAAUAUAUGUGCGAGUUAUGAGAUUCAAGAAACUUUCGGACAAAUAUGCACAACGCAAGAGAAAUCUGUAACAAAAGGUAUAAUUUCUGUGACUACUCACGUAACAUGUCAAGUAUCUACAAUAGCAAAGUUCGAUAUUCUACGCAAGUCUAGUCACAAGCGAAAUACAACUUAAAGCAUCUAAACAGGGAAGAAUAACUAAAGUAAUACAAUUAAAAUAUGGUGUGAGUCUAAGUAUACCCGGAUAUAAUCAAAAAUCUAGUAUACGGACAGACACUCGUCACCUUACACGUGCGUAACUCCCAUAACAUGUAGCACGUAACAAAUAUAGCACUUACAGGGUAAAUUUUCUCUUUCAAGGUUAGGCAGAAGACUUACCUCACUCUGAAAUGUGUUAAUCGUCUCCAACGCCUCUCCAACAUCUCAAACCAAUGCUAAACGAUCCAAAACUAGCCAAAAAAGUGCAAACCAAUCAAAAUAUACUCAAAGACUCAUAAUUUAACAAUUAGAAAUAAAUUUCCAACUCCGCAUGAAAAGUCAACAAAGUCAAUCCUGGGGUCACGUGCCCGGAUUCCUAAAAUUAUCAAAAAUAAAUAUUAUCCAUAAUUUAUAUAGUCUAUAUCCAUAAAAUCAUCCAAUUUCGUCCAUGAAUGACCCUCAAAUCAAAGAUUUAUCAUUUCUCGAUUUUGGGGCUCAAAACCCCAAUUUCUACAAUCCAAACACGGAUAAAAAAUAAUAAUAAAUGGAAAUAAUCAUGGAAAAUAUCAAAAUAAAAGUUAGAUAUUUACCCCCUUGUUGAGACGAGAACAACACCGUGAAAAUCACCUCAAAAUACUAAAAUGCUCGGUUUGCCAAUUUAAAAUACUGCCCAGGUAAUUUUUGUUCAUCGCCUUCAUGGGAUACCAUCACGUUCACGAAGAGCAAUUUUUCACGUUUACCGGUCAAUCCAAAAUUCCUUCUUCGCAUUCGCGGGACUUCCCUCGCAUUCGCAGAAAAUAAAAGUUCGCACCAGAAACCAGCAAUCUUUCCUGAUACGAAAAUGGGCAUAACUCUCUCAUACGACCUCAGAAUUUGACGAUUCUUGUUACUAUGAUACCAUAAUUACGAUAUGGAUCUAUGGUUUAAUCGAAUCACAAAUCAAAGGUCUUUUGCUCAGUAUAGUACCCUUUACGCCAAAAGAAACGACGUCGAAACAUCAUAUAAGAGUGAGACACAAUCCAAACCCAUUCGAAAGUCAUCGGAAUCUAACCAAAAUUUGUGGACAAAUCUAAAAUCAUUAUACAAACUUGUUGAAACUUUUAAAUCAUGAAUCCGAGCUAGUUAAGUCUACUAUUUGACUGUGGUCAAUUCAUUUUCUUAAACUCAACUAGUACGCAACUUAAGUGUCCAAAUCACACUUAAACAUUCUGGAUCAUGAACAAAUGUCACACACAAGUCUCAAUCAACUAAAUGAACCUAUCCAAGGUCCCGGAACACCACCCAGAUUCCGAUAACAUUAAAGUCCACUCCAAGUCAACUUAACAAAUUUAAAAACCUUCAAAAUAUAAACUUCCGACAAUACGCGAUACUCAACCCGAACAUACGGCUAGUCCGAAAUCACCUUACGAACCUAUAAAAAUCUUCAAAUCUUGAUUCCGAUUUAGUUUACUCAAAAGUCAAACUUUGGUCAACUUUUAACUUAAAGCUUUCGAAUUGAGAAUUAUUCUUCCAAAUCAACUCUGAACUUUUCAAAAAUUAAAACCGACUACGCGUGCAAGUCAUAAUACAUAUAGUGAAUCUACUCAAGGUCUUAAACCGCCGAACGACAUGCUAGAGCUCGAAACGACCGGUCGGGUCGUUAUAGUGCCAAUCGUAUUUCAAGCCGCAUGGGAAUAACCAUCAUGUCAACAUCAUAUCAAUCGCACAAAAAUAUCCAUCGUGCCAAAUAUUGCCCUAAGGACCCAAUCAUAGUGUCUUAUUAUGGAUAAAUAAGUUCAAGUAACAUGAAAAUAAAAGGUACAGAUGUGUGUUCAUGAUAUAAGAACUUCUAUGGACAAGUUAAGUAUGUCAACAAUCUCAAAAAUAGCUCAUUGAAUUCCUUUAAGAUGUUAUAUGUUUUAAUAGGAUCUCUAGAAUGGAUAAAUUAACUCAUUUAGUUAUAGAAGUAAAAAAAAAAAGAAUAUGCCAAAAAGUCACAAAGUUCAACAAGACAAAAAGAAGCAUAUCAUUUACCCCGAACAUGGAUAACCCUUGCACAUACAUAAACGCUUGUCACCUCAUACAUCACCCCCGCAUAUAGCAAACAAUAUUAUCUAUUAGGAAAAGAUUUCUCAACAAAACUAGACAAGACGCUUACCUCAAACAAGCCAAAUCAAUACUCUAAAAAUGCUCGCACGACUCGAACUCCAAAUGGCUCGAAUCUAGCCAAAAAGAAAUCAAUAACAUCAAAUAAUGCCAUAGGAAUCAAACACAAAUGAUAAAGGUGGAAUCAACCCAAAAAAUCAACUCGGGCAAGCUUCCCGGAACUCGAAAAAACUCACAAAUCCCAAACACUUAUUCUAAUACGAGUCUAAAUAUACAAGUUUCAUCCAAAUCCGAUUCUGAAUCGGGGUUCAAAUCUCUAUUUUUUUAUCGUAGAAAAGUUUUGCCAAAACCCCCCAAAAUACAUUUUCUUAUCUUUCAAGCCAAACCCCUCUUUUCUUCUUAAGAUUCCUUGAUUUAGAGCCAAAAUCACUGAUAAGUUCAUGUUAUAAUCAUAAAUUCGAGUUAGGUAUACUUAUCCUAAUAAAGUAGAUGAAAACUCCUGAGCUUCAAAACUUUGUGAGAAUAAGUAACUAAAUCCCGAAAUAAGUAAAAAAAAUGCAGUAGUUGUCCCAGCCUGAAUCAGAUGCUAGAUGGUCCCGAAACUCUCAUUUGAUAAGCCCAACCAAAAUUUCUUGCGAGAUUACACCCAAGAUAGCCUUUUGAAUCACCCAAUUUGGCCUUAAAAUGAGGGAGAUAUGAUAUUUUAAAAUUUUAAAGGAAGUCUAAAAAUUUCAAGGACAUAACCGGUAUUUUCGGAAUUGUUGCACCAGAAAAUAAGCAAUCGCAAAAUCUUUGUUUUACCACCCAAAAUUCACUGGGAACCUCCCGGACACAAACCAUAUAUGCAACUCAAUCAUAAAACACGCUACGAACCUUCUCGCGUACUCAAAACACUGAAAAUAGAUCUUUUUGACCUGAUAUUGAUCGUGGUCAAACUCUAAAGUCUUAACUUAACUAGUCUCUCAAACAAUGAUCCAAAAUACAUCCGAGCCCGUCGGGACCCCAUCCAAUCAUACCAAUAAGUAAAAAUACAUUAUUCAAGC